rnacentral:lncRNA from 1 species
AUUGAGUGAUGUUAUUAUUUUUCAAUAAGAUAUUCAAAUAUUUAUUCCAAUUUUAUUCUUAAUAAAUAAUGUUGUCUUGAAAUAUUUAAUAAUACAUUUUUUUAAUUAAGAGAAAAAACAAGAAUAUUUUAAUAAAAUUAUUCUCUAAAAAAAUAUUAAUUCUCUUAGAAUAUUUAUUUUCUUGAUUUGUGUGAAAAAAAUGUUAAACAUUAAUCAUUUUGAGAUGAAAAAAAGUAGAUUUAUUAGUAAGGAUUCCAUGUGUAUCAUUCCGUCAGAGUUAGUAAUAAUGAUAUUUUAGCAUAUUAUAGCUUGUAAAAUAUUUUUGCAUUGGGUCAAAUGUUUUACGUCAUGUCAUUUAAUUUUAAAAGUUGUAUUAGAUAUUUUGUACCCCCAUAAUUUUCCUGUUAUAUAAUUCUUGACUCCCCAUGAUUUUCCUGAUAUAAUUUUUUAAAAAAACAUUUGAAAUUUAUUUUAUAAAUAAAGAUAAAAGAAAAUGAAUUAAAAGGAUGUUAGGAAGCUAAUAACUAUCUACAUAACCUAAAAGACCACCGUUAAAGCUAUAAAGAGAAUAAAGAUAAAUAUUCGUAUUUUGUUAUUGAUACCAGAAGGGAUCCAAUUUUAUAACCUAAUUGCCGCUAUUGAUGGCCCCACAAGUAUCAUCAUUGUAGCUUAAGAAAUUAGACAUAAAACCUAAAUAACAUAAUAGACAAUAUUUAUAAAACAUUUUGUAUUAUUUUAGUUAAAUAAAAUUCAAGAUAAAUUAAAAAAAUUUAUCUAUUUCUACUUUUUUUUUAAUUCAUUUAAGUGAAUAAUUGUUUUAACAUGUAAAAGAAUGGUUCAAAUGCCUUUUAUUCUUAAGGGGCCAUUAUUUAUAUACAAGAAUGUGCACAUGUGAUUUCUCUUAAAAUUAUGUCUAAGGUGUAUCUAUCUACCAAUUACACAUAUGCCUAAUUAUUAUCAACUCUAAUUUGCAUAUUAAAAGAUUAUCAAAUAUAACUAAUUUCCAAAUAUAGCUUAAUACCCCCCUCAAGUUGGAGCAUGCAGAUUUUGAAUGCCCAACUUGCCAAGGAAAGUUUCAAACUGCAAGUUGAAUGGUAGUAGGAACAUAGCUGGGGCGGAUAUUGUCUUUGAAAAUCUCAUCACAGACAAAGUGACAGUCUACCUCGAUGUGUUUGGUGCGUUCAUGAAACACUGGAUUUUUGACAAUGUAUAAAGCAGUCUAACUAUCAUAGCGAAUGGUCAUGGGUUUGUCAUGUACAACCCCUGGUUAGAGAGGAUCCCUUUCAACCAUUUUAACUCGCAUGUAGUGGUUGGCAUAGACCUAUACUCAACCUCAGCAGAAGACCGAGAAACUGUAUGUUAUUUCUUUGUUUUCCAAGAAAUAGGAGAGUCAGCAAACUGCACUAGCCAUCCAGUGGCUGAUUGUCUGGUCAAAGGGAAACUGGCCCAGUCUGAGUCGCACCACCCAUAAAAUUAUAAGUCACAUUCACGAGCAAAAAAUAUUCCUUGUCCUGGAUUACCAUUUAAGAAUCAAACCACUUGGAGUGCAGCUUCCUAGUGUUCUGUUCGGGGUUGUUGCAUGAAUUGAGACAAAAGGUAGACACUAUAUGACAGCUCAGGCCAAGUGAAACACAAAUAAAUCAAACGCCCAACUAAAAGCUGAUAUUGCUUGGGAUCUUAAAGAAGUUGUCCUGCAGCAAGUGACAAGUGAUGGUUCUGCUCUAAUGGAGUGGCAACGGGUUUAGCACCAAAAAGACCAGCUUCAGAUAUAAUAUCAAGCACAUAUUUACGCUGACAAAGAAAAAUUCCUGUAGGAUUUUUGGCAACCUCAAUACCCAUAAAAUACUUCAAAAACACCAAGAUCUUUCAUAUGAAAACAUGUAAAAGGUAGAGCUUAAAAUGCUUGAUGGAAAAAGGAGUAUUGCCAGCAAUGAUCAAAUCGUCAACGUACACAAGAACCACAAGUUGGUGUCUUUUUUAUGCAAAGUGAACAGAGAGUAAUCAAGAUAUGAUUGUUGAAAUCCAUAGGAUUUGAGAGCAAUAGAGAGCUUGGCAAACCAACAACGUGGAGCUUGUUUUAACUUGUAAAGAGAUUUUUGCAGCUUAUAGAUCAUGUUCGGUUGUGAAGCUGAAAAACCAGGAGACAUUUUCAUGAACACUUAUUUGUGCAAAUCUCCAUGCAGAAAUGCAUUAUGCAUGUCCAUUUGGUGAAGUUCCCAAGCUUUUGCUGCUACUACUGCUAAGACAGUAUGCACUGUGACCAUUUUAGCAACCGAUACGAAUGUCUCAGUGUAGUUGAUCCUUUCUACUUGAUGAUUAUCAAGUAUAACUAAUCGGGAUUUAAAACGUUCAAUUGUCCCAUCCAAGUGAUACUUUACGCGGUACACCCAUUUGCACCCGAGAGCUUUCUUUCCAGGCGGUAGUCGUUGCAUGGUCCACGUACGAUUUCGCUCAAGAGCUUGAAUCUUAGAUUGCAUUGCUUUUCUCUAGCGAGCAUCUUUCACUGUCUCAUGGAAAUUGAGUGGUUCUUUUUCUGUAGUAAUAGUUGCAAGGAAAUGUCUAUGUGGCAAAGAAAAUUUUUCACAGUUUACAUAAUGCGUGAUAGGAUAGGGUGCACGUGAAAAAUAAGAUUGAGCUGAUGAACAAGUGGAAGGACUCAACUUUUGAAUCGUGUGUAUGACGUAGUCUUGCAACCAAGUGCAUGGAUAUUUGACAUGAUAGCCACGCCCCAGUGGUUCAUUCUCAUCAUGAGCGUUUGGGAUCUGUAUAUCUGGAGGUUUUGGAAACAUAAUAGUAUCUGUUACAACAACUUCCGUAGUGUUAGUACCCCCCUUAUUGUCAAGAAUCUGUUAUGCGGGUGACUUAUUUUGAUUGGCUGCUCUAUUGUCAAUUUGAUUCUCCAGAUCAGCUUCAUCAGUGAUGGAGAUUGAGGAAGUUGAUGCAGUUUUGGUGUGAUGAAAUGGAAACUGGUUUUCAAGGAAAGUAACGUCUCGUGACACUAAGAAUUCAUGGGUCUCAAGAUCGUAGACUUUCCAUCCUUUUUUCCCAUAAGGGUACCCCAUGAAGAGACACCAACGACUGUGACUUGCAAAUUUGUCUUUGUAUUUUGGUUACAUGCAAAACACAAGGACCCAAAGAUACGUAGGUGAGUAUAAGAGAGUGAUUGGGCAUGCAAUACUGCAUAUGGAGUUUUUCCUUUUAAGACUGAGCUUGGAGUACGAUUAAUCAAGUAUCCUACUCUUAACACACAUUCACCCCAAAAUUCAAUGGGUAGACUUCCUUGAAAUUGCAAAGCUCACGCCACAUUGAGGAUAUGUCGAUGCUUUCUUUCGACCCUGCCAUUUUGCUGAGGUGUUCAUAUACAAGAAGUUUGGAAAACUAUCCCAUGCUCAAGAAAACAUUUUUUCAUGCAAAUGAAUACUGUUCCAUUAUCACUUCUCACAGUUUUAACCUUUUUGUUAUAUUGCCUUUCCGCCAUAGCAAAAAAAAAAAUUCAGUGCCCGUGAUACUUCUUUCUUAUCAAUUAACAAAAAAACCCAAACUGCACAUGAGCAAUCAUCGACAAUGGUAAGAAAAUAUGAAGCACCACAAGAAGAAGGAGUUCUAUAAGGUCCCCAUAAAUCACAAUGUAUCAAAUCAAAUGUAUUAGAAGCUUGAUUAUUACUUAAUGGAAAUGUUUCUCUAGUUUGCUUAGCUCUUUGGCAUGUAUCACAAACUUUAUUGUGCGACUCACUGAUUCUAUUCCAACUACCAUUAGAGAUUAUCUGAGUAGUUUGCCAAGAUGGAUGUCCCAAAUGCUUGUGUCAUACUUCUAGUUGAAUUAUCCCUUCAACUCUGCAAGCCUUCACUUUUGGAAUUUCCUGGAAGAAGUAGAGUCCAUCCCUUCGUUCACCCGCUCCAUUCAGCAUCUUCGAAGUGUGGUCAUGUAUCACACAUAGAUUAGCAGUAAACUGGACAUUACAAUUGGAUUCAUCUUAUAAUUGUGAUAUAGAAAUUAAGUUGCAAUCGAACUAAGGCACAUCAAGCACAUUUUCAAGUCUUCAACCACCAGCAAGUCUUAUUGUUCCUUCUUUAGUAGAUGUGGCGGUAUGUCCAUUAGUAAGUCCAACAGGGCACCCAGGCACUUUCCUCACAUCACAUAGGUGUUGCAAGGUUCCUGUCAUGUGAUUAGAUGCCCCACUAUCAAGGAUCCAUGAAUUAAGUUUAGUCUUACCAGUCAUGCUUUCAUUUGGAGUGACCUUCGAAUUGUUUAGUAAUUCUAUCAGAGUUUCCCACUGCUCCUUGCUCAAUCCUGUCAUGCCAGAAUUCUCCACAUCUCCACUAAUGUUGGAUCCCAAGUUCUGUACAGCAUGAGCACGUACUGGACCCUUUUAUGCACGUCCAAUGUUCGAUCCAGUACCUCUAGUGCGAUUCUGACCUCUUCUUUGUCCACCUGCCUUAUCAUCAUUUUUGGGACGGUCACCCUACCAUUCUAGGUAUCCAAUCAGCAAGAAACAAUUUGUUUCAUCAUGACCAGAUUUGUUGCAAUUCGUGUAAACAGAUAUGUUCUUGUUCUCAUGCCCGUUCACCCUUGCGCUUGUUUAAGCAGCCAAGGCCAUGACUUCUGUUCUUUCUUCUUUGCUUCGUGUGAUAGUCCACAAUUUUUUUCCCAUACUAGAAUAAAGUAAUCUUGUUUAAAGAUGGCAUAGGAUCUGAGGCCAAAGUUGGAACAGGUUGUUCCAUAGAGCCCAUCAUUUAGGCCUAUUAAUGUGACCUCGUUUUUCUUCUCUGCAUUUUUCAAAUUUUGCUGCAAAACCACACGUGCAGCCUUUGCAAGUACAUAUCAAAAGUUGUUCAUAGUUGGCCAAAUAAUCCCGUAGAGCCUUCAACUUUUUGUAAUAAGCCACCAUGGACAAACCUCCUUGUUUGCAUUGGGCCAAGUCUGAUUUCAGCUGCUGAAUGCGUGGACCAUUCACAACUGAAAAUCUCUCCUUUAUGUCAUCCCAAAGCUCUUUAGCGGUUUCCAAAUAAGACAUGGUUGUUCGCAGAAAAGGUUCUAUUGUAUUCAAGAUCCAUGACACCAACAUGGCUUGGAUAGUCCACCAAUCCUCCAUCAUAGAGGAUCCUUCUUCAGGUUUCGUUAUGGUUCCGUCAAUAAAACCCCAUUUUCUUCUUGCUCUCAAGGAAGUCUACAUAGCUCGAGCCCAUUCAUCAUAGUUUUCACCCCACAACUGGACUUGUGCAAUCACACUUCCAAGGUUGUCAUUGGAGUUAAGACCGUAUGAUGAUGGCCUUUUCUUCUGAGAUUGGUUGUCUCCUUCCAAGGGUGUGUUGAAAGUCCCACAUCGAAUAAAGAUAGUAUUGAUAUAAACUAUAUAAAUGGGGAGCAAUCCUCACCUUACAAGCCAAUUUUGUAGGGUUGAGUUAAAGCCCAAACCCACUUUUUGACAUGGUAUCAAAGCCUAUCCUAAAUGGAUUCUUAUGUUUGUCAUGCUCUAGACAGGUAGCCUUGAGCGUGAGGGGAGGUGUGGUCAUACCUAGAUAAAGGGGUGUGUUAAAAGUCCCACAUGACGGGUAGUCAUGAGAAAAAUGGGACAUCUUGAAGUCACACAUUGAAUAAAGAUAGUGUCAAGAUAAACUAUAUAAGUGAGGAGUAAUCCUCACCUUACAAGUCGGUUGUGUAGGUUGAGUUAAGCGCAAACCCACUUUCUCACAUUACAUAAUCUGAAACUUUUUAGCAACACCAAAAAAACAUCCUUUCUCCUUCCUUUUUUUUUUUUAAUCUUCACUAGUUCUCUUUGAAAAACAUCCUCUCUAUAUAUAACAAGCCUAGCCAUUGAUGAUCUUCGAAAAAUUCAUAGUCGAACUACUUGUGAUGUUCCUUAGUUUAUUGCAGUCACAAACGUAGGGGAUUGGAGAGAACUAAUUCACAUAUUGUAAAUUAGUAUUAUUCACGAUUUGUUAAGGUGAAGAGUGCUCUCUCGGACAUUUUUGAGAUCCAGAACAAAAACUAAAAAAAAAACCCCUAAACAACGAAAACAUAUUUCAUAAAUAAUUCAUUGACAAAAAAUUUCAUGAAUUUAUAAAUUCAACCAUAAAAAAAUAAUAAACAAAACUCUUAUAUAUUAAAAAGUUCAGCAAAAUUAUGAAGUACAUUAAUUACUUGAAAAAUCUCGUCCUCGGAGCAUUCCUUGGAGCAAAUUCAUUGAUCAAAUCCUCACAAGUGAUACUAUCCAACACCUCAUUCUCGAUUGUCACCAUAGCUAGUCCAUUAAUUAAAAAAAAUUCAAAGUUUUCAAAAGUUGGACCUUGAAAAUGAAAGUCCUAAACCGUCGAUUACCUUGCGCAUGUGUAUAAUUGGCACUGAGGGUGAAAACUGAAAAGCAAGUUCUGUUUCUAUGGUCAUUAAUAAUUUAUUUAUUUUUACCUUAAAAGUUAAAAGUUAUAUCUAAUAGUGAUUUUUUAUUAUUUGACAAUAUAAUUGUUUUCCAAGUCUAAAUUGACUGAGCACAAUCUUAAAACAAAUUUAUAUAUUGUCAUUAAAAAAAAUGAUGACAAUUUGUGUCUUAAUACUUUUGGAAUCAAAUUGCAUAAUGACAUGCCAAUUUUAUUACAGCUAAGCCUUGUACAUCUCAGGUCUCAACAUAUAACGCCUCUACUAGUCUACUUCAAGGGUUUGGGUACAGAAGACAACAUCGAAAAAGCAUGGAAUACAAUUGUAAAUUAGCAAAGAAUUAAUGGGUGAACGAUACCUUGAAUUUUGGACUUUCACUAAACUUGCAUCCAUCCUAUUCACAGGCGAAUAAGUUGAUAGACAAAUGGGAGAAAGACGCAGAUUGUAACAGAAAUUUAAGGCAAGCACAAUACAAUGGAAUCUUUCAAGAGUAUUAUAAACAACCAACUCAAUAGAUAUUUGGUCAGAGUCUGACUACUAUACAGGAGCAAAAAGGCUAUACUUUCGUGUAAUACUCUUAUAUCAAUAUCAAUGAUGGGCCCGUCUAAGAGCUGAGAGAAAGCCAUGGGAUGAUUUAUCUUUGUGAUCAUUGACCUGGUAGGAAAAGAAAAAAUGAAACUGAAAAUUGCUUAACAGGUCCAACUUUUAGUUGGUUUUUAAAUUUCAGUAAUAGUUUACCUCUUUUGCUAUCUGCUGAAGAAUUUCUAUUAUUUCAGAGAAAUUUGGUCUUUGCGUUGGAUCUUGUUGCCAGCACCGCUGAAGAAGUUCAGAAAGUCUUGGGUGCGUAUUUUUGGGAAUUGUAGGCCGCAGGCCCUAAUAGCAAUUUAAGCCACAUGGAAUCAUCAUGCAUAGACAAGAAAUUUGUUUACAAUGAAAUUAUUUGUAAAAAGAAAAGGAAUAGAAACCUUCUGCACCACGCCAACUGCUGCUUGUAAUGGGGUCAGGCAAGAGUAAGGCAGCUGAUUACAAAAAAUAGUAUAUACAAUGAGAUAAGAUUGGUAGGGAAUAAAUGAUAAAGCAGCAAAGCCCACUGCCUGGCAUGAAAGUACUCACUUCUCCAGUUAAAAGCUCCCAAAGAGCUAUUCCAAAACUGAAAACAUCUGCCUUCUGGUCAUAUGGUUUGUGUUCAAUGACCUUCAAGUAAAAUUCAAAUCAAUAGAGAAAAGUGUUAAUGGAUGGAUCGGAUAGAUUUUUUUAAUGAAAUGGAUCGGAUCCAUUAAAUAUUUUUUAAUGGAUUAAUGGAUUAUUUUGAUCUGAUGCAUUAGGAUACGGAUUAGGAUUGAUUCAAUCCAUCUGUCUGCCACCCUUAUUAUUAACAGCUGACUUUUAAAAUAAAAUCAGCAAAGCAAAGCAAAUAUGAUGAUAAUGUAACCACUUUCAAGUCCAAAUAUUAAAGGCAUUUUUUAUGAAGAUUAAAAUAAUAAUGGAACUUAGGAAUAAGGAUCAAAGCACUGAAUGCUUUGUAAGGAUAUAUAUAGCCAAGAACAAAUUAAAAAAAAGAGGCAAGCAUUUCAUCUAACUUUAUUAAUCUUCAUUUUGAAAUUAAAAAAUAGAAGAGAUAGAAUUGAAAUAACAUCAUAAGUUAAACACCUAAACAAUAGAAAUUCAAUAUCAAUAUGACAAAAGAUUAACAUAAAAAAUAUAUAGAUUCAAUACAUCUGACAAAAUAUUAACAUUAACCCAACCCAGUAUAGUUUCACUAGUUUAAAAUUCUGCUUCACUAUGGACAAAGAUAUUUCAAUGGUAACCAAGAACAUUAACUCAAGUGGAUUAAUUUCUCAAGGAUUGAUUGACCUGGAACUGAAUCCCACCUAGGAUGCUUUUCUUACACUUAAGCUCAACUUCCCUUUCACCACACAACCAAAAUAUAUAAAUAAAAACCAUUGUUCACUGUUUUCCCUGUCCAUCAUAUUCCUCACUUUUCAAACAGGCAGAACAUAAAUGUGUACCAUAAACAAAUACUGAUCCUGAAUUAGUAUUGCACCAUGAUCAAUGAUGUCACCAAAAAAAUCAAUCAAGAAGAAACAUUGAACUCCAAGAAAAUCCAUACCUCAGGAGCCAUCCAACGGUAUGUUCCAGUUUCAGCUGUCAUCACUCCAGACUGAGUUUGCACCCUGGCAACCCCAAAAUCAGCAACCUUGACCACCUGUUGAAGAACAAGAUAUUUUAGUGAUCUUUCCUCUCAUGUCUGUGUAUGUAAGCUCAUAUUUUACUCUAUGCUAAAAAGAAGAGUCCAGCAUCACACAAUUACCCAUCUUAAACAUAUUUAUACAAAACUAUAAACUAUAGUGGUUCUCGUGAUUCAAGAUGACAAACAAUUGUCAUUCAUAAAUGAAUAUAGGACCAAAUAUAUGCAGAUGCAGAAAAGUAUGAAUGAGUCAUUGGGGAGAGACAAGCACAAGGCAAGUAGCCUUUUAGAUUCAAGCAUUUGGCUCCUCUAAAGAGAUGUAAUUAUACCCUAGAAGUUGAAGUGCAGUUAUAGCUGUUGAUAUGAAAAACAAUGGUUGAGAUAUGUGCGUGCAUUUUAUCACAAUUUCAACCAUUGAUUUUUUAAUCAAUGACUAUAGCAGUUCUGUAUACUAAAGUGUACACUCCCUUACUUUAAAGGAGUUAAAUCCCAGAUUCAACAUAUCAAACCUUCAACAGGUAAACUAAUCUCUUUCCUUUUGGGGCAAGCAUGAAAGAUUAAGAGGAGUAUCAUGGAAUCUCACGAUAAUGAAGUAGUAAAUUCUAUUAUAAAACCUAAAUAGUAUACACAGCGGAAAAACAUAAACCAAUAACACUGAAAAUGCAACAGGCAGUAUCAAUGUGUGCAUUCAUGGAAUCCUCUUACUUCAUUUUCAUCCAUCAGAAGAUUGGCAGUCUUGAGGUCCCUGUGAAUUAUAUUAUUUUGGUGCAAAUAGUUCAUUCCCUUGGAAACAUCAAUUGCUACUUUUAGCAAAGAUGGAAGCUUAAAUACACCUCUUUGUUUGUGCAGAAAGUCAUAUAAGCUUCCCCUAGACAUAAACUCUGAUAAAGUCAUAAACAAGAGCACAUAAGCAUUAAAAUUGCAUUAUCAGGUGACUGAAUAAGGCACCCAAAUCAUCUUAUAAUUACUUGAUAAAACAUAUAUAGGUAAGCAGGGAUAUUAUACAGAUUCUAAGACAACUACAACUUAAAAAAUGAACUAGCAAUAUGAAUAUAAAAGGAAGGCAUGUGCACAAGGCUUCCAUCAUUAAGGGGUGUGGGGAGGGUCAAAAUGUAUGUAGCCUCCACCAUAAGCAGAGAGGUUGUUUCCACAACUAAAAUCCAUGAUCACCAAGAUACAAUGCAGUAAAAUUAUCAUUAAACCAAGGCUCAGCCUCUAAACAACAAAUUCCAUGAAACAUAAAUAUAUGACAUCUUAAAUUCUCAGGAUUCUUUCUUAUUUACCAGUAACAAUGCAAAGAUUUGGGGGCCUAGUACAUGCGCCAAUGAACUGAACAACAUUCUUGUGUCGAAUCUUCCUGCAACCCAAAGAUAAAUCAUAGUUGGUAAAGGAAUAAUAAUUACUCAGGACUACAAGGAUACCAUAUCACCAACCACUAAUACUCAAACUACGAUAAAAAUACAGUUACACAAAUUAGUCAAGUUGUUAGGAUUGAAAUGUUAUUAUUUUCAGAAGCAUUUGAGGCAGUGAAUAUCUGAAAUUGAGAUACUAUUUUUAGUUAAUAUAUUCCUUUCCAGAAUGAUUUAGAAAAUAAGUCAUCCAGUUUCUCUAAUAAUAAGUUAAAGUCAUGAUUAUAUUUAAGCCAAAAUUCAUGAAUCUUUGAUCAGACAUUUUAACUGUCUAUGAUGCCAAUUUCAGGGAAUUGAAAUCAUAUAACUGAAAUGUGGGUUUUAGAACCAAAACAAUUAAGUUACAGCACGCUUCACUUUAAUCAAGCAGCAGUGUUAGGUAGCACAACUUUGCAUGUGUAUCAACUAUCAAGCUGCCAAGGUUUGUUGGUUUUCAAACUGAGAUAUAAAUAAAUAGGACAGAAAAGAUCUAACCAGAAGUAUAAUGUCUGACCAGUUCAUAUUUUCAAGUCUGGGAAUAGUAAAUCCUCAAUAGAAAAUAAGCCACUCAUAGCACAAUAUAUCAAGAUAUUUAUCAAACAACAUAAAGUCCAUAACACCAUUCCUCCAUUGUGGAAACCAGAUUAUUAUCUAAUACAAUACAGAAUUAAAAAUUAUAAACAGGAAAGAGGAAGCGACAGCAUGAGACAGGAAAGCAUGAGAGAAACAAAUAUCUCAGUAAUUGGAAAUACAAGCUCCGCAAUUACAUUUAAUCAUGCAAACAAACCUCAUGAUAUAAACUUCCUGUGCAAACUCCCUCAGCAUAUCUGUACUUAUGCGCUCAGGCUUAAGAACUUUGAUAGCCACAUCUUGACUACAAUAUGUACCUCUGUACCUAAAGGAUUACAAAGAAAUGCACAGAGAGAGAAUCAACUAAAAGGAUAUGUAGAGUUCAAACAUACAUCAAGCAAAAAUAACUCACAAGUCACCAAAUGACCCAGAGCCGACUUUGUUUUCAUAUUUCAGCUGGUUGGUAUCAAUCUCCCAGACAUCAGCUCCAUCAGAUGGUAUUAGAAUGCAAUGAGGGGAGGGUUCCAUCCUUGCCUGGUAUUGUUCAUUGGUAGCAUAAUGUAUACCCUGAUUUGACAUAUUUUGCUCCUGCAAAGAAAAUAAAAAAGUUAAUAUCAACAAGUGUUUAGCACAAGGAGAAAUGAAAUUCUGUGGUCUGCAUGAAGUGUAUGUGCAAAGAACAAUUUACUUUUAACAGAUGUUGCCAUUACUCAAAUGCAGUCCAAAUUAACAUCAGUUCCUUUCUUAAAAAAAUCCAAACUACAAUAAUCUCAUCUUCCCUGCUUAAUCUUGAAUAGGUGCCAUUAUAUCAAAGUUCAUAGCAAUUAGCAAGAAAAUUAAGACAUUUCCAAAAUAUAUAUAUAUAUAUAUAUAUAUAUAUAUAUAUAUAUAUAUAUAUAUAUAUAACUUAGUAAUUUGAAAUAGUCAUGAGCUCUCUAUCCCAAAAACUUAAGUGUUAAGUGAAGAUUCAUUAAUGGUUUUUAUAUUAUAUCUCUAAUAGAAACAAUUAAAAAGGAGAAUAUACCUUAACCUUGAAAAUUUCCUUUUCCAACACACCUUUCAGCUCCUCAGUUUCCUAAUAGCAAAAAGAAAAUACAAUAGAUACAAAAAGUUUGGAUAUAUAAAUUCGAAAAUACAGUUGGAAAAGCAAAACAACAAUACAAAUAAAACUCAGAUACUUCCUCCGGUCUCGAAUAUAAGCAACAAAAGUUCCUUGUUUUUUGGUCUCAAAUAUCAGCAAAACUUAACAAAGUUCUAGAAGGAAAUAAGAAAUUAAUUAGGCAUACCAUUCAAUAGCAUACCCCAAUAUGUUCUAAAAGUGAAAAAUCGUCAUAUUUAUCUAUUUAUAUCCAUACAACAAGAUUAUUAGAAAUGCCACAGAGACAACAUAAAUAAUCCCAUAUUAUCUACUGAAAUGAAAAGGUAAACAUGCCAUGAAGAGAUGAGAAGUUAAAGGUAUUAUAUAUCUUUUUACAAAUUCAAAAUUGCAAACCAUACUUAUAGCAAGAUAUUGAUCAAGGCAUACAUAAAUAAAGUCUUUCUGUUUCCCAAAACACUUGCUAGUGAUUUUAUGAGGUCAUUGUUUAGCUACUUUUGUCCUACCUCAUUAGGCCAUCCCUCAACAACAAACACAUCCAGAGAAAAUCCAUCAGUAGUGGAAAAUGCAUGAGCUUCUUGAAUAUUCAGUCCCAUCUCACCAAGUAUUGCUGUUAACUGAAAUGCAAAGUAAAGGGUGACAAACAGCCCAUAAUAUAAAAUACAAUUGUUCUAAUCUAUCUUAUAAUUACAGAAUUUAAUUUUAAUCCACUGUUAAUGCAAAAAAAUCUACAUUGUCAUCCAGUAACAUUGCCACAUCAUGUAAUGAAUUUGACACCUCAUGUAGUCUUAACAUUGCAAAAUUCAUUUAAUGAUGUGAUAAUUCAUCAUUAGAUGACAAUGCAAAACUAUUUUACAUUGAUAAUGCAUAAAAAUUAAACUUGCUUAAGAACUCCAGAGAUUUUGAGUUAGCCACAGAAUUUACAGUUUUGAACACAAGUGAAAUUUCCCCUUUUCAAAGUAUAAAAUAGAUUGAUUAAAGUAAUCAUCAACACCCCCCCCCCCCCCCCAACCAAGCCUAAAAAAGAACAAUUAAUGUAAAACACUCCACUUUUGCGGUUCAUAUUAAACAAUAAAUUAUAUAUUUACAGGAGUGUAUUCGUAUUAGAGAUUAAAAAGUUAUGAUUACAGAAAAUGUUAAGAGAUGACAACUGAAAAGAUUAUGAUAUUCAUUUGUGCAUGAUUUACUUAUUGCUUAUACAUUUGUACCUUCAUAAAUUCCCAAUCUAAUCUGUGUAAAAAAAAUACUUGGGCAAAAUGACAACCUAUAGUACUUUCAAAGAAAACACUCAACAUGAAAUUUUAGUUUGACAGCAUUGAUAGCAAUUGGAAAGAAAUUUAUCCAUAGUUGAUACAAAAGACACUAUAAGCAAUAAUUAUUUCCUGCAUAGCAUUGCAAGAAGUGCUCUGACCCAAUUGAUGGCCAAGAAAAGCAAGAGAUCUUUUUAUUAUCAUGUUGAAGGCUGAACAAUAUAGUAGAAAAGAAAAUAUAAUGAGAACUAUGUACAAUAAUAUCAACCAAUAAUUUAGAAGCACCAUUUACAAAAAGCAUUACAAAAUUUUUUAAAAAUAAAGUCAGAAUUAACCACCUGACUAAGGAGUUUAGGCUUGUCAACUGUUGAAAAGGUAAUCUCGUGCAUGGGCCUAAAAUAUAGUAAGUAGAAAGAUUAGCACAAGUUAAAAUUUAAACAUUAAUAUAUUUAUUAACUGCUAUAAACUAAUGGAAACAAGAAUGAAUGCUCCCCCUAGAGAAAUUCAAUAUGCAGGGUCUUUACAAUCUGGAGUGUUGGCAUUCACAACAUUGUCAACACCAACACAACACACAAAUGGAAACCUAUUGACUGAUUCUACAUUUUGUUUUUUCUAUACAUCAUAUGUCAGUGAUGGUCACAUAUUCUCCAACAUCUCUCUCAAAAACUUGGACAAAACUAAAAAACCAAGAGACUUUCACUUGGAAAAUAUUACCUUCAAAGUGAGCGAUAUUAUCCUAGUCUAUAUAUCAACCUCAUCAUAAAAUACAUGUUUCUAGUUGAUCGAUAUAAGACACUCUUUAGCAAUACUAAUUGAAGCUGAAGAGAGCAAGCCCAUUCACAAUAUAUUUACAUGAAGAAUAACAGCCCAAAAUAGUGCAUUUAUUACCGGAAAUAUGGUGUUACACUCAUAGCACUUCCCCCAUCUUCAAUGUUAUUUUUGUUUUUUUGAAGUGCAAGAGCUUCAAGGUUAGAGGAUGAACCAAAUGUAGGUGGUGGAUGAAUUCUGUUUUGCCAAGAGACAGACAUAGAAAUGACAUUAAAAAAUAAAUAAAUGGCACAAAUGAAAACAUAAAAACAACAAAAAGGAUUGUGCAUAUUGAGCAACAGCAAGGAUGGAAAUAAAACUGAUAUGAAAAUACAAGAGCCAUACCCCUGCUUUAAAGAAUAGUUAAGAGAACUUUGUGCAUCUUCUUUCUCAGAAGGAUCUAAAUGUAUGGAAUCAGCAUAAUUUGCACCACCAAAAGGAUAUACCUGCAUUAAGGAUGAAACUGUUAUGAAUUAGUCUAUACGUAGCACUUCUCUAUACUUAAAGUAGGGGCUUAUAAAGUUACUGAUUACAUAUUUCCAAGUUUGAUUUUGAUGUCAAUAACAGCUAGCAGUUAUCAGCAGUGCAGUCAAGGAAAAAACAGUUCCAUGCAUCCUUUAGAACAAAUUUGACGGGAAAACAUUUGGCCUUAGUCAAAACUAGUAAAAUUACAAACAACAGAACUUCAAUUACCUUAUAUUAUUAGUGCUUUAUUUAUGUUUUUUUAACUACCUGUACUAAGCGAACUUGAAAUGCAGGUCGAGAAGCAGGGUCCUCCGCCAACUUAAGCAAUCUCUUAUGAGCUAAAACAUCUUCUGCCCUCUCCACAUUCACAUCCAACGCGUACCUAUGUAGUAGCAAUCAGAGUGACCAACCACGAGACUCGAACAAAAACCACUCUGGCAAAUCCACUUACAAAGGUAAAGUAAAAAAAAAAAAAAAAGGCAAAAAAAAAAAACACUCAGCUAUUUUCUUUCUUCUUCAAUUAUCUUCUCAAUUCUCAUCACAAACUUAAAAAAAACAACACGAAAAAACACUCGAAUUGCAUAAAUCAAAUAAAAAAACACAGACAAUCAGGAAUAUACAAAAACACUAGUCUCAAAUUCCCUGACCAAUCAUUUUCACCACUUUUAAAAAAGUAAGAAUCUAAAUCUAGAGGAAAACAUAAGAAGCGAGGUUAAUUAAUUAACUAAUUAAUUCGGAAGCAUCGUGUGAAAGACCUAGCGGGAAGGCGAUUGAAGUGGAGCCAAAGCUGAUCGUCGAAGCCGGGAACAUGCCCCUCCUCGCAAUCCGAUUCCUGAAUUCGCCGAAGCACCUCAUUGUACACCUCCAGCUUCUGCCGGUGGUGGCGAGGGUGAUGCGCGUGCAAAGAUUGCAUCGCUCUGCUCCCGCAACUCUCAAUGUCAUGCUCGAUCACCAUGAGCGCACGCGACCAGCACCACCACAACUACGAGAGAGAGUGGAUCGUGAAGAAAUGAAGAAGAAGCAAAAGUGAGAGAGAAGAAAAAACACGAAGAAGCGAAAGGGGGGAAAGGGGAAAGAUGAUGGAGAUUCAGUUGACGGAGAACUCUUUUUUGAGUCUCUUUGUUUUUUUUUUAAUCUUUUGCUUGUUUGUUUGGUUGUGUUCUCUUUCCCGGUACUAAUGAGUGUUUUUGCUUCGGCGCUGAGUGUUUGUUCCCAGCUAUCCACGUCAGAGUGGGGCCCGCAUUCAGCCCAAAGUGGGCACACACAGCAAAUUGAAACUUUCUUUAUUGGAUAAUUUUAAUACUUUCUUUUCCGUAUCUGGCCUCCAAUAAUAAAUAAAUAAAUCAAGAUGUUUUUUUAUGAUGAUAUUAAUAUUAGUAUGAAAUUAUUCUUUUCAGAAGUGGUAAUUAAUUAAAAUAUAUAAUUUAUGAAAUAUCGAAAAUGAAGUAAAUACAAAAAUAAACAGCAUCAGGGACCCACGGGGACUCUGUCUAAGGUUUAUUCGGGAAUAUGGGCUUUUUUUUUUGUAAUCCUUAAUCCUUAUCUUCUCAGAUUAAAAAAUGUGGACCUACCAAACCAUAGAAGCUUCUUUUUUGAUCGCACUACUACUACUAUGACUAGGGGUCAUUCUUUUUUUAAGAGCACCACGAUCUGUAAUGAGUAGAAUAAAAAACAAUGAAAAUUAAAUAGUAAAGAAAUAGCCAUGAGAAUCAGAUGUACCUUCCUAAUGAGGGUUUUUCAUUUACUUUAAUGCAUUGUUGUUUGGGGUUGAUUGUGGGAGAAAAAACGAGGUGAGGAAAAAGUGAAAGGGAAAUAAUUUUUUUGUUGCUUGAAAAUGAAAAUGGAGAGACCAGGGAAAAGAGAUAAAUGUUUGGUGCAAGUAAAAAGAAUGGUGGGACACAUGAAAAGUAAAUAAUUUUAUUAUAUAUAUAUAUAUUUGUCCCUAAUAAUAUAUUUAUAUAAUAAAAACAAAAAGGGUAAAUACAUGAUUUUAAUUUUUUGAUGUGUCCCACCAUUUUUUUAAAGGAAAGAUAAUAUAACAGAAAUUAAAACUUAGAACAUUUUAGAUGUGAGACCUUACUUUUGGGGCUUAAAAAUGCUUAAAUAUGACAUUUUGUUUAAAAAUAACCAAAUAUAUUUAGUAUCAUGUAAAAUAACUAUUUACUAUUUAGAUAAGUUUUAUUUGGAGAAAUGUCACUAUAUACUUAAAAGAAUAAUUUUGAAAAUGAUACAAUUAACAAUGCUAUUUUUUUAGGUAAAUUAAUAAACAUGUUUAUUUAGAGUUUAGUAUUUAUGAAAAUAUUUUGAAAUUUUUAAAUGAUAAGAGAAAAUUGUAAGAAUAUAAAUGAAAUUUAUUGGUUGAAUUAUAAUACAAUUUUAAGUAUGUUCACGAUAGAUUAACGUACUUACCUUGACCGUGAGAAUAACAAGUAAAACAUGAUUAAAAAAAAACUUUUUAGAGAAUAAAAAAAUAACUAUAAAUAUGGUUCUAAAAUUUAAAAGCAACAUUAAAAUGUCAAAUAACUUAAUUCGCAUUCUUAAAAAUAACUUUUCGAAGCUUUAAAUAACUUUUCUGCCAAGAAAAAAAACUUUUCGAAGCUUGAAAUAAACACACUUUAAAACCAUUCCUUGUUUAGAAUCAUACUUUAGGAUAUCAUCUUUUAUUACCAUACUUCUUCUCGAAGGAAAAUCCUAUUUUAAAGAUUUUUAUUUAAUUAUUAUAAUUAGACUCUUUGAUUUUUUUAACGAAAUUCUCAUAUAUAUAUUCAUAAAUUUAUGUCCUUUAAGCUCAUUAAUUAUCUGACUAAUCCCCAAUCUUCUUUGUUUACUGUUAUUACAAUAGUAUUUUAUUCAAUUGAUACGAUUUGCAACACCCAAGUGUGCCAAAAACACACGCUUGAUAUGAUGAGAAAAAAAAAAUUACAACCAUUACCAUUAAGGAUGUGCUUGGAUUCAUGUUUAGCAUGCCUCAACUUGAGUUUAAAAGAGUCAAGUAUGAUUUUUUUUUUCAUUGGCCAUGAUGUUUGGCAUUGUGUUAGAAAUAUAAUUUCGAAUUUUAGACGAAAGUCUUACUAAAAUUAGUAGAAGUAGUUUUUGCAUUGACAUUAAAGAAGCAUAAGUCAGAUUUUUGUGUCAUUUCUGUAUAUCCUUAGUCAUAUCAUUUAUUUCAAAUAUACCUUUAGUUAGACUCAGAUUUUUUACAAUUGUACCCACAAAAUGACAAUUAAUUUUAAUUGUAAGUUUCAGAGAAAUAUUAUGUUUAAAACAAUUUUCUAAUAUUAUCCAAACAAAAAAUACGUACGUCUACUUAGAACCAAUUUUAUAAAAGCAUCCUGAUUCAAAUCUAAUUCUACAAAUUACUAUGCAUGCAGCAUGUUUAUUGUUUAGUCGAGUAAAAGAAUAUUCAACGAAUAUGUAGAACUUGGAGCCUUUUUUCUUGCUCACAAGUCACAACAUCAAAGCUCAUGCAACAUUUAGAGUCGCAUAUAGGUUUGAAAUGGCCAAACAUGACUCUACAUACAUGCCAGAAGCCAAAUCAUGAAUAUUAACGAAAAUAUUAAAAAAAAAAACAGAAAAUAAAAGUCAGCUCUGAAUGCAUGUUGAUCAAGUUAAAUGGUUGGCCACCAGAGUUAAUUUACUGCUCAACUAUGAAGCUAUAUCAAAGAGGGAGAGAAGUGAAGAACCAUGUUUGGCAGCAUAGUUGUCGCUCAGUUUGUGAAUAGUGAGAUAGGACAAAUUUAAACACUAUAAAUAUAGUUUUCACACAUUUUUAAUGUUAUAAUUUAUAUAUUUAUAAAUAUUUUCAAAUAAUGUUCUUAUUACUAUUUUCAGUUACAACACCAUAUUAAAGCAAAUACAAAACAUGGAACAAAGUUUUUUUUUGAGGAGAAAUAUAUGGAACAAAGUUACAACGCCCUAAAUUUUAAUUCUUAAUGAAAACAGUUUGUUUAUUGUCAUUAUUUCCAAACUUACUACACAAUUAUAUAUGAAUAUCUACACAAAGAUUGGAACGUAAUUUGGAAAUCCAAUUUCACAUCUGGUUUUUUGAAUAAUUUCAAAUAUAAAAUUUGUAAACUGAACCUAUUUUAAAUUUAUCAGAAUUGAAUCGAAAUCAAAAUUAUAAACUACAAAUUUAAUUAUUGUUUUUUUUUUCACAAAUAUUUUCAUACAAGCUAAUUCUAUUUGUGACACUAUCAAACACUAAAUAUAAAUACUUCUCUUAAUAAAGAUUCAAACUUUUAUCAGACUAAUCUCUAUACCUACCUAGACUCAAUUUCCAUCGACACCAUAAUAAUAUUCCAUCGUCCAACCAUAUCUUGAGUGAAAGGAUUGGGAUGAAAGGAAGAAAAAAAUACUAACAAACAAAUGAAGUAUAAAUAAAAACUAGGGAUUUUUUUUAUUUAAUCUAUAACAAUAUUGCACAUGACCUAUAGGAUGAUGUGUAAGCAUUUAACUUAAAGAUUCAGGUGCAUGAGGGGCAUGGUCCCCUAAUGUGAUUUGGAAGAAAAAAAUAUUUUGUGAAGAUAUCGUUGAUGAAAACGAAAAGAAAAGAAAAACGUGGCUUAUAUCUAUUUAAAGUGUUUAUACCGAAUCAAAAUGUUUUUUUUUUUCAAUUGACCUAUUUUUAAUUCCACCCCAACAAACAUUCAAGAAUGUUGUCCUUAGUUGUUGAUUAUAUUAUAACUGUCGAGUCUUGGUUGACUAAAACUAUACUUAUCCGAUUGCAGUUGUUUUCUUCUAAAACACGGUUUAAGAUUAACUAGUGCAAUGAGCUAUUUUGAGGGUGUUGACGCAAAUUGAUACAAUUUUUUAUAGGCAAUUUUGAUACGGGUUCAAAAGCAAAAAAUUAAUAUGAUUAUAUAUUUUAUUUUCAUCUAUGAUUAAUGUGAUUGUGAUCUUAUCUGAAAGGUCCAUAACCAAUAUCUAUAAUUUAAAUAUUGGAGUGGCAACUUUAACAAAAGAAAAAAAUGGAAGGCAUGCAUCAUGUGAUGGCCAUCUGGGUCCUAGUCUCACCGACCAACAAUUUCAGCACCAACAAGCUUACACUAUGAAUUCGAGCAAUACUCUGAAAGUUAUGCCCACUUCGGGGAACAGUAUCGUAGCUUAAUAGGAACCCCUCUAUUUUCUUUUUAAUAAAUAUAGGUAAUUUUUUUUAUAUAUGGCACUGUUAAUGAUUUUAAGCAUAUUUACUUAACCACUUUGAUCCCUUCAAAAAAUUUGGUCAAGAUCCCGUACUGUCUGACAAUAGAUUAAUUUUAGGUGUUGUUUCCUGUAUUUUCCGUUGCAUUUUAGAAAGUUAAUCCCAGAAUGCAAAGCAGAAAGUUUUAGCCUAAAGUUUAUUUCGUCAUAACAUCAAAACCUUUGACAAAAACUAGAUAAUGAUUUGAAGGGAAAAGAUUUCACUACAAGAAUGUUCUCUAUUGUAAUGAGUUUAUUACAAUGAGUCACGAGUUUAUCUAUAAUAUAAACGAAUUAUAAUAGAUAUAACCGUUGAUAAAUUACAUACAAUUUUUUCCGUCAAUAAUAUCAACACAAUACAAGGGGUCUAUAAUUUGGAAUAAGCACAAAUUUUGUAUUUGCUUACAAUUUGGCUCACACCUCUGGUUCAUAUUGGCAAAAACUACAAUACUACUAUUUUAUAGGACGAGUCCCAAAAUUUAGCCUUUAACACUAACAAAUUAAAAAUCUAAUUCUCAUUUCCCAUUGGGCUCAAGAACCAUACUGAAACCAGGCCUUUGCUUCCUGCAACCCCUGCACCUCCUUUAACUUUAUUGAUGACCCAUUUCUUCCUGGCUUCCAGCGUUAAACUCCCCCCGUUUUCAUUUCAGAACGGAAAAAGACUGGUUUUAUAAACAAAACAAGGGUAUUCUUUUAUGAAACUUGGUUGUAUUAUUGGACAAAAAUGCUUUCGUAUUUUAAUUAGAUGAAAUGAGAGGAUCCAAAUUCGAAGUAAUAUUGAAAUAAUAACAAAAGAGAAUCAAUCCUAAAAUACCGGUUUUGUGAAUUACUAAACUCUGUAUAAUAUUAAGCUUACAAAUAGUAAAUUAUUUGCGGCUUAUUUAAAAGAGAAAAUAUAUAGUCGAUAUGCUCGAUAACUUUUAGCAAAUGAAAAACGAGACUAAUAUUAAUUUAAUUAACUUCAAAAUAAAUGCACUUUUAAUUUUAUUUUAACUGCUUCCAAUAUUGCGUUUUAAUUAUAUAUUGAUAUUGGUUUUUAUUGAGAAAAAAAAAACAGAGAGGGCAAUUCGUAAAGAGAGUAAGAUAUAGUUAAUAAUAAAAAUUAUAAUAGAUAGCAUGCUCCAGAAUGUUUUUCUUUUUCAAUUAACUGAUUAUAAAAAUAUAGUUUUUUUUACAGCAUAAAUAUAGAAUUUUUGGAAAGUAGUGUUUGUUAGAGUACUUACUAAUAGGAAGAUAUGUAAAGGGAUUAAUAAGAUAUAAUAUUACUCAUAAUUAAGAUAAUAGAUAUUUUACUAUAAUUUGUAUGAUUAUUUUUUUUAAUCAGUACUCUAAAAAAACCGUACCAUUAGUAUUAUAUAAAAGUAAAAGAAGUGAACAAUUUAUUUAUUUAUUUAUUUAUCAAUAAAAACUACAACAUAUAUGACUUUUAGCAAUAUUUUUUUUUCUAACACUUAAUAAAAAUAUUGCUAAAAAUGUUUGAUCACAUUAAAAAAUGUUGUCAAAUUAUAAAUAAAUAUUAUUAAUAUAUUUUUAUAAUAUUUUAUCAAAUGUUAUAUAUAAUCUAUAUUAUUAAAGCUUAAAAAUAUCAUAAAAAGACUUUAAUAUAAAUUAUAUACAACAUUUAAUAAAUAUUAUAGAAAUAUAUUAAUAAUAUCCAUUUAUAAUUUUAGGAUAUUUUUUACAUGUCGUCAAAAUUUUUUUUAAUAAUAUUUUUAUUAAGUGUUAAAUAAAAAGUAUGAUUAAAUAUCAUAUUUGUAACAGUGAAAGAAGGAGACAAAAAAGGGAUGAAGUAACAACGAACACUUCCUAAGAGUCCUUCGUAAAGAAAAUAUUAGUAAAUGUAAAAAAAAAAAAAAAAAAAGCAUUCAAUGAUUUAGGAGCAUAAUAUUAAAUGAACAAAAAAGCAUUCAAUGUUUUAGAAACAUAAAAGCUGGCACUUAUGAAACGUUACUUAUCAAAAAAAGAGUAGUCCUACUCAUUUUAUCUUUUUUUCAUAAAUUUAUUUCUCCUGGAUUUUUAAAAUAAUUUUUAGACAUUAAUUAUAUUUUUUCUUAUAUAUCCUUUUUUUCUUUAAAUCUUAAUAAAAAUAAUUAAGUGAAUAGAGAAAUAAAAAAAUUAUAAUUUUGAAAUGAUAAUAUAAAUAAUGGAUAGAUUUAAUGUGAUUAAUUAAAUUAAUUAUUUUUUUAAAGGGUGUGAAUUAAUUGAAAUAUAUUAUAAUUAAGAAUAAUAAAAAGUCUACUACUAAACAGUAAACACAGAAAGAACCAAAAACGACAAAUGAUAAACAAGUUACACCCUACAUUCAUGUCUUCAUACGUCAUGUGCAAAUAAAAAAAAAUACAGGAACUAAAAAUAUUGAGCAUCCAUAAUCCAUUCAUAGAAAUCGAAUGGUGACUAGAGCGGUUGAGUGGUAUACGUGGAAAUUGGAAAAAUGCUUCAAGCUUACCUCUGCGUUUGGUGUGCUCAUUCCAGGCGCAACCUAAGAAAAGAUGAAAUAGCAGUGAGAUAUUGACACGACUCAAUCAAAGAUUCAAAAACGAAAACCACAAAUGUUGUGAUAUGGUUGUUUUGUGUCUGAGUGAACCGAGCCAAUAGCACAAUGGCUACUUCAUGUUAUAAAACGUGUAUGUUUUGAAGAGGGUUGGGUGCUGAAAAUGAUAUUUAAAAGCCCCGACUACCAAAGCAUUUAAGUCACUCCAUCCCCACUUUCUGUUUCCCUUUCUUCACACGCCACCGCAUUUAGUGGUGUUUGAGAUUGAUUUUAAUUUUAGAAUUGAUUUUAUAUGUUUGAUUUAAUGUUAAAGAAAAUUUUUUAAUUAAUGUUGAUUUAAAAUAAAUUUGAAUAAUUUCUAUGUUAGAUUCAAAAUUUUAUACUAAAUUUUAUUUAUUACUUAAUUUUUUAAUAAAAUAUUUAAUCACUUCAAAAUUAAUUUUAAUAAAAUAUUCAAACAUAAAUCAAAAUUUUUAAUUUUAUAAAAUCAAAUUCAUUCAAAAUUAAUUUUGAUAAUGUCCCCAAAUACUCACUUAGUCUCCCACCUCUAAUGUCUAUUUUAACCCUUCCUUUCAUCUCUUGUAUGUAUUGUGUGGGGGUACAACACAACUAUCUCCUGAGAAUUCAAUUGACCUGGCAGAGUAUUUAUAUAACACAGUUGAACUCGAAUUGAGGCAAAUCUAAUUCUUAGACGAGUUAGGACACAAAUAGAAACUAUCAAUGUGAUUUAAUAACAAGUUGAUGCAUCCCAAUACGGAAUAACUAAAAAAUAAAAAAUUAAAUAGUAAGAAAAGAUAGGGAAAAAAAAGAUGAAUAGAAAAACUUAUUAUAAAUAAUUUCUUGUGAAGAUGAAAAUUACACGAUCCAAACUCUUGAAUUGAAUAUUGUUUUGGUAUUGCUUCUAAGUAAUAUCACAUUUAUAAUGAAUUGAUCAAAAAAACAUUGAUGUAUAGUUUUCCUUUUUCUUUUUCUUUUUGCCGGAGAUGUAAGGAAAUAGAGAGAGAGGGGAGAAAGGAAUGGGGUUGGGGUUGGGAAUGAUCGUGAUACUGGGAGGAUGUGUUGCAGAAACCAGAAACAUUAAAUGAGGGAAUCUCCGUCUGGCAACAUUAAUAGGCAAGGUAGUACUGAUGAGACUGCUUCAAAACUGUUACAACCCUCCUACUUAGUAUUUCUUUUGAGGAUUAGGAUCCUCUUCCUCUCUCUGUAUGUACCCUUAAUUCUCCCAGGGGUUAAAUAAGUCUUUUAAAUUACUUCUCAUUUACUAAGACAAGAAAAAAUAGCAAUUAACAGUAGUAUUGAGUUAAUGAAUAUCAUUGGAUGAAAUUAAAGUGAUGAAGGGUAUAGUAUCCUAGGGAGGGGGUUGACUUGCAGUGGAGAAAAAUCAAUUUCGCGGCUUUAUUUAUGAAAGCCUUAUUGAUGUUUGCUCGAUAUGGCAAAACAGUGUCUCUCUGUUACAACUGGGAAUCUUGUUUUAUGGAUGCCAUUUUCUACUGUGUUUCUGGGUAGCUUCAUUAUCUAUUUAUGACAACAAUUAAUACUCAUAUGACCUUUUAUUUCUCAGAUGGAAUCUCAAUUUGCUGCCAAAUUUAUGAGACCACCACGCUUUCACAUUACUGCAUAUCUGCUUUUGGUAUCUUCUCUCUACAAUAUCAAAUGAUAAUCUAACCUCAAUAAUUAAAUUAAAAUUGUUAUUUAUCUAUUUCAUUAGUAUAAUUUUUAGGUAAAUGCUGACCAGAGUCUAUUAAGGUACUUACUAAAUAAUCGAAAGAAGAAUUUUUUUUUAUUAUUAUUGAAAUACUCGUCAUUUUCCUAUGAUUUUUAUAAUAAAUAAUAUUUUAUUUUUACUUUUUUAACUAAUGCUCUAUGGACACACUGGUUAUCCACCCUAAUUUUUAAUACUAUUCGUAUAUUUUUAAUGUCAUUUAAACAAUUACUGCUAUCAUUGAAUUUUUAACUAAUGUUCUCGUAAGACAUUGGUAAACAAGUUUUUCUUGUAUGCCUACUGUAUAUGAUCUAAAAGUAUUAGAUAUAUUUUGUUAAAUAUUUUAAAUUGUUAAAAAAAUUAAAUUACCUUCUAUAUUUUUAAUAAAAUAUUUUAUUCUUGUUUUUUUAUUGUGUGUUUAUGGGUAUCCUGUUGAAAAGUCCAAAUUCAAAUUAAGAAAUAAACAUUAAAUAUAUCCUUUUGAAUUCUUUUAGUUAGUUAAUAAAAAUAAGUUUUAAAUGAUUAUUAUAUUUUCAAUAACAAAAAAUACUAGUAUUUUACUAAUAAUCUUUUUUGUUCUCCUAACCGAGUGCAAAGGACAAAAUGUUAAAACUAUAUUGAACUUCAGUGUUGAUUUAAAAUAAAUUUUUUAUUAUAUUUAAAAUAUUAAAUUUUAAUAAAUAAUUUAUUUCCAAUAAUAAAAUGUUUUUCAUUUUCCUUAAAAUCAAAACUAUAGACCAAUAUUUACAAAACCAUAGAAAAUUGAUAUAUGCAUGCUAAAAAAGUAUCCAUUUAGUAUAUACUGGUACUUUAAAGAGUAUUUAAUACAAACAACUAAUAUUUUAAUUUUUAAAAUAAAUAUUAAAUAUUUUAAACUUUUAAUACAAUAAAUACAUUUUUUUUCUAAUAGAACUGAAUGCACUAUUAUAAAUGAAUGGCCAAAGUAUUUAAUACAAACCAUUAAAUAUUUUCAAUUAUUAAAAAUAAAUAUUUCAGUAAAUAGUUUUUUUUUUAAUUUUAAUACAAUAAAUACAUUUUUAAUCCUUAUAAUUUAAUGUUGUUUUACUUUUCGUACUUACAAAAUUAGUUACUUUUUUCCUUAUAAACUAUAUUAUUUUAUUUUUAAUCUUUAAAAUAUUUUAGAUAAUAUUUUAAACAGUAAAAAAAUAUUUAAAAUAGUAUAAGGACAAAAAUAAAUUAUAAUAACUAAAAACAACAAAAAAUAAUUUUGCAAGAACGAAGAGUAAAAAAUACUAAAUUCCAAUGAAAAAAAUAUAUUUAAGCUUUAUUUUUAUAACUAUCAUUUGCUUACAUACGAGAAACUUAUGAAAUCAUACUCUCGUAAAAGAAAAUAAUACUAAUUACAUUAUAAUUUUUUUUCUCUUUAAUUAAUGUCUUAAGAUUAAGAAAUUAAAAUGAGAAAAUAUUUAUUAAAUAAAUUUUAAGAGAACAAAAAAAAGUAUGAGCAACAUAAACCAAUAAAAGCCUUUUUACUUGAUAUUUUCUAAACCAAGUAUACUUAGACUACUGUUUAACAUUUAUAAAAAUAAAAUUAUCCCUAAGAAUCAAAUACUUGAAAAUUUACCACAACUCAUAGAUUUGCUCAACCAACCACAUUAUACCCGUUGCUAUAAAUGAAUAGUGAAUUAAUAUAGACUUGCUAUUAAUAUUUUCAAUUCACUUUAAAAACAAUUGUUCAAAGUUAGUAAUUAACUUGUUUAUUUUCAUACUCGUUAGAAUUUGAUAGUCAAUAUUAUGGGUUGCUUUGUCAUUUUCAAUUGGCACAGAAUUAACUAAAAGGAAUGUAUAAUUGGUAUUUUCAAUUCAUUUUAAAAUAUCAUGUGCUUAUAACAAUAAUCAGACCUUCUAAUAUUUAUUACUAAUUCAACGUAGAAAGCACUGCAUCAUUUAAAAUAUAUAAAAAAAACACUUUAUACGAAGAAAUAAAAAGUCUUGAUUAGAACUAAUUAUUUGAGAUAAAAAAGUACAUAUAUUACAUUUUUAAGGUAUUUCACAAAAAAAAAAAUCUCGGAGGGGGGGGGGGAUGAAUUUGUCAGAUAGAACGCAGUGGAAAAAAUAGAUAAAAUCUACUAUUUAAUUUAACACAUAAUAUACAAUAAUAAAGAGAAAAUAGAUGGAAGAAAAAAUGUAUAAUAAUAAUAACAUCAAAAAUUAGUAUUCUUGUAUGUUUUCUUUAAUUAGUAUUCUCAUGUAUUUUCUUUAUUUCUCAUAUAUAUUUUGGUGGAGAAUGUGUAAGUACACAUGUAAACAUUUCUUAAGUAUCUGAGUCCGAAAUCCACUCACCUAUACUAAUUUCAUUAUAUAAAAAAAAAAAAAAAGAGUUCGUAAGUUUUUGAUUUAAAUUGUUUUCAAAUAGACACAAGAGAAAUUAAGUUACCAUAUUUAGAAUGUUACUACUUAAUUAUAACAGAAUAGAUGCUAAGCGUCACGGGUAUUCAAAGUUUGCUCACGUAUACAGUGUUUAGCAUAAAACUACCAACCCAACCUUUUCGAAAAUGAUAGAGUAGACGCGGAGUGCAACAGCAUGUCUAUUUAUCCAAUAUACGUAAGAACCUUAACCAUGAAGAUAAAAUUAAGGUUUGUUUUGACCUCCAAACACAACUAGGAAGUGCAACUUCAAUUCACACGUAUAUAAAUAACUUGAUUGCCAGUGUUAGCUGCUGAAGAUAAUUUGAAAGAUAUAGUCUCAAUUUUGAUACAUAAAAAGAAAAUCUCACAAGAUCAAAGCGACACGAGUUACCAUCAUAGGCUUCAUUUAGUGUCCAAGGUUCAAGUCUCCGAAGGAAGAAGUGUCUUUACUUAACAUUGGACCGUGUUUCAAACAGGAUUAUCUUCGCAUAAGGAUUGUGAAGAAACAAAAAAAGAACAUGUUUGAUUAAUUAUAUGGUUUAAACAUAUAUAGUAGCUUCUUUCAUUUGGAUACGUAGAACACAUAAUAGUGGUGGAGGCUUAAUCAGUGGUUUGAUUAUUAUAGAGUUUAGUGGUGGUGGAGGCUCUGUUCAUUCAGAACGACAAAGGAUGCUUUGCCAUGAUAAAGGAGCAUAAGUCCAGAUUCUAUAUUGUUAGAAGAUGUAUACUGAUGCUAAUUUGUUGGCACAAAUACAAAAUUAUUGAGUUACUAGAGAGGAGGCGACAAUUAGCUUUGUUCUUUAUAAGGAAGAAGGUCUCGAAUUUGAGACAUCAAAAGAAUUUUAUUCUUUUAAAUGAGUUCAUUUCACUCGAAUUAGAAUAAUAACAAGAAGUUCAAAAUUACUUUCAAAUACUAAGAUCUUAGAUCAAAGAAAUUGAAGAGGAGUUGGUAUUAUGCGAUGCCGUUUCUAAAAACCGUCUUUCACAACUAGGACAAAAAAAUAGGAAGUUUAAAUUUGUUAAGUAUGACCAUAUCCUACUAACAAGAUUCAUAUACUAACACGUUGUAAUUUGUGACAAAAAUCAAACAUAACUUUUAAUUAAAAAAAUUCUCAGAUGUCCACUGUUUACAGCAUGUUUAUUGCUUCGUUUAGUUACAAAAUACAUUCGUCUUUUUAGAAACUAUUAAACUUUUUACACAUAAGAUGGCAUUUUUUAUACCUUUCAGGCGUGUGCCCAAACAUAUGCUUAGUCAACCACUAAGUAUAAAAUAAUUUUAUUUUUUAAUAAUCAACGGGGUCAAAAGCUUGUACAAAGAGUUUUCCAUCUCUUGCUUACUUUUUAUUAACUAUAUAAUUAUUUCUGAUUCUUUUUAGUUUUUUUUAAACCUUUUUAUUAAAUGUAAAAAACACGUUUCAAGAAUCACUAAACGUAUGAAUCAACUAACGUAAAAUUAUUUUAACUUAAUUAGAGGUUUCAAAUUCAAGUCUUAAAUAUACAAUUAUGAUAAAUAUUUGAAGAAAAAAAUUUGAUAUUUAUAAUAGUCCUACCUCAAUUCAAAUAUGAUUGUUCCCCUGUAGACCAGACAUGUGAUUUAAAAAAAAAACACGGCUCACGACUUUUUUUUGGUGAAGUUUUUUUAUAUUUUAUUAAUUAUAAUAUAACACGGUUCAAGAUGCAAAAUCAAAUGGAACAACUUUUAUUGUCCCAUUUGCCGUCAAUAAAACACCUUAGCAUAUAAAAUUAUUAAGAGAGAGGUCCAAUUUAAUUUCAUGUGUAUUUUACUAUACUUUUUAGCUAACACUAUUUUAGUACAUGCAUUAUUAGAGCUUUGAAGAGGAUGAACAAAAGAUAAGAGUCUUAUUUUGAUAGAGGGGGAAUUCGACACAUAUAUAUCUAUGGCUCCAUUUAAUCUUUUUGAAAUGGAUAAUGGUACUUUAAUUAAUGUUGAAAUAGAUAAAAAAAAUUGAUUGUGCUAGAAUGCAUUAUUAAAUUGAAUUUUAAUAUUUUUAUUUCUCUUUAGAGCCAAUUGGAAGAAUUUAAGCAAGUACAAUUGGUGUCUGUCCAACAAUUUCACUUAUCGCGUGUUACUAAAAGUUCCCACUCUGGGAGAUUAAAAAAAACAUGGAUAAUUUAAUAGGAUUUCUGCAAAACAGGUGAUUAUAUAAAGUGAUAUCUGAAUUAAAAAAAAAAAUAGCAAUUUUAGUACUCGUGAAGCUGUUGGCAGUGGUUGUGCACUUGUGCUUUGUCACAUGUUGAAAAAUCAGGCCAUGCAUACGAAUGAUUGUCAUGGUAUCAAGAAUUUUCAGUUACCAUCUUUCUGCUCAAAUAUAAUUAACUGUGAUGCUUUUAUGAUCUCAUCUUGCCUCUGCAUUUGUUAUCUGCUUUACUAGUGGAGAUGUAGUUUCUAACUGCAGAUUUGGUUGAUCCGUUUACAUUUUGUUAUUUUGACUGACUUUGGUAACUUUUCGGAUAUCACUUGGAUUAAGAAAGAAGUUAAGAUCUUCAACAUUAUAUUAAGAGCAGGAAUUAAGAUAUAAUAAGGAUAUUUAGAAUCAUGAAACUAUGAUUAUAGUUGUUCUUUUGGUUCUUUUCGUUUAAAGUUAUGCCCUGUGAAUCACCACUUGCAGUUCAUAUAAAAAUACUUAUGAUUAAUUACGCCUGAGCACUAGGAGUAGGAUGAAACUAUCGCAUUAAAAUGGCAUUUUGAUAAUUUGAUCUGCAUCAGACUUCAAGUAAAACACCAAUUACAAGCUAUACAAUGAACGAGUUGAUGUGAAACCUUUGGAAUCCAUGUGAAGGACCCAAACGAUUUUGUAGUUACUGUGAGCAUAUUUAACAUAGAAAACGCCAUAUUAGUCAAAUGGUCAGUAAACGAUAGCAAUAUAUAACUUGGCACUGCCAAGUUUACAUAAAUCAUCUUUCUGUUAUUAUAUUCUAUUAUUAGAAUUUACAAGGCAGAUCAUUCGCAUUCCAUGGUCUGCUUAAAAAAUGUUAUACUCAUCCAUUAGAGAGACAAGGUCAUAUUAAGUAUCCAUUUAAUUUAAAGGUUGGUAGUAUUGACUAUUGAUUUUGAACUGUUAAAUAUAAUUGAUACGUAUAACUAAAUUAACUUGUACAUAUUUAUAUUAUGUGACUUUAAAACAAACAUGAGCUAAUUCUCAUUGAUGAUCAUUUCCAGGAUUGCAUACAUACAAGAUCAUCGUCGUCGUUUCUGAGUAUUGGUAGAAGCACGACAAUCUUCUACAAGGUUUAAGACAUUCAAAUUCAUUUGGUGUACACAAAGUGGGGUCGACGACUAUAAUACACAGCUGUACAACACUUAAUUUUGCUAGUUUCCUUCAUUUCUGUAACUUAUUCCCCAAUAUACUCCUGAUGAAAAAUUAUCAGGAAUAAGAUACCCAUAAUACCCCUAUAUUCUUCAGAACUGACCCUGUCAUCACAUGAAAAAUUUCAACAAACAAUUAGACAGUCAAACUACUGUAGAGACAUGAUUUUUAAAAAAAAAAAAUUUAAACAUCAAAUUCCAAAUGUUGAAAUAGUCGGAUAUACCUAACAAGCUAAUUAGAGCUCAUGGGCUGAUUUACGAAGAUUAGCAAGUUUGUCUCUCCAUAUAGCUGCAAAAGGCAACCAACAAACUAGGAUGAUUCCACAACACUACCCCGUGUUAGGCAUUCCAUAACACAACCAACAUAUAUAUGCAAUCAUAUAUAAAAGAUGUUUUACCUGCAUCUUUAAAUCUUUCCUGUUUGAUAGCUAUACGCAUAUUAUGCAUCAUACUUAGUUCUUGAGCUACCAAAUCUGGACCAUCUACAGCACUGUAGACAACAUAUAAAGUUUAGACUCAUGAUAAAUAAGAAUGUAAAGGAAGGGGUUCGAUCUUGCAGUGACUUGUACACAGAAUCUAUGAUGGCAUAGAUGACACAUUUUACACAAUAAGUCAAUAACUAUGCAAUACCUGUCAAGCAAUACAUCAUAAAUAGUCUUUUUAUUACACACUCCGCCCAUUCCAUAACCAAUUCUGAUAGCAUCUGUGAAAACAAUUUCUUUACUUACAUAUAUUGCAGCCUGCACAAAUCAACUUUAAAAUCAUACAAGUGGAUUUGUCUCAUAUCAUUGUACAAAAUGCAUUUAACUAGGAGAGUAGGAGUUUUACAUAUGAAUAUAUGUGCUAUAGUUUUUGUUGAUUCUUGUUCAAAACAUAAAUUUUUAUAACAAAUAUUGGCAGUGUAACCAUAGAACUCAUACCUUGCAUCUAUUUGCAACAUUAAUGGCAUCUGAGGGACGGGCAUCCACACUGAUAAGAUCAGUUUUCCCUGGCUGAAGGAAUUAUUAACUUUUAUGAGCACUUCUAUGAAUGGAAGAGCUUAAGAUAGAGGUGUUUUUAUCAUUUAUGAAUUGAAAAGUUUUCAAAACCUGACUAAGGUAUAAUCUGGCAAAGUAAGUGCUGACUACUCUCUCUGUAAUUCUCACCAUUAUCACCUGAAAGGGUAAAAUGAAGGAAAUACUUUUGAAUUAUUUAUUUGACAUUCAAUUUGUAUUUGAAGGAAUUAGACCAAACAUGAUAGAAUGAUAAUGCUACAUUGUUAUUGUUUUAGAACUUCUGCACAAGGAAGACUGAUCAGAGAGAUUGAUAACUGAAAUUUGCUCUUAAGAGGACUCAAAUAACUUUAUCCAAAUAGUACUUCUUUCCUUUUUAGUAUGAUUAUUGUCAAACAAAAACACAAAGAUGCAAGAGGAGGUAUUGAUGAUAUGAUCUAACCCAAUAAUCUGUGCUAAGGGAUAAAAGAUGCAAUUAGACUAAAAAUAAAGGCCAUUUAGCUGGCGCAGAAAAUCCUAUGUAGUAUUCUAUGAUUUGGUGGAAGAUUAGAGAUGCAGAAUACUAUUUGUUGCUGCCAUUUGCAUAAUAUUACUCACUACACCUAUGAUGCAAACAUCAGAAUAAACAAAAAUUAAAAGAAAAGAAGCAUCAAUUGAUAAAACAUCCAUAGGCAUCAAUGUAACGUGGGAAAUGCUUAGCUUCAUACUUCAUGGUCUAGUCUUCCAACUAGGUUUUCCACAAACUGGUACUGGUCAGGACAUUCCUGCAAUAUCACCAUUUUCUAAGUACCGAUCACAGCGAAAAAAACAAAGUGAACAACCAUUCGGAUACAGGCUGAAAAAUACCACACUUUCAUGUUCAGAUUCCGCAUCCAUAAGUUUCUCAAUAGCAAUCUGCCCUGCACCAACAAAGAAACAAAGUUAAUAAAACCACAAUUUCCAAAAAAUUCAGGGAAAUACAAACUAAAGACUGGCACAUACCUACAACAAUGGGCAGAAUAUAGUCUCCAUCGCAAGAAAUCCUGAGAAAAAUCGUAGGAUUCUUGAAACGCUGUAAGAAGCCAUGUCUCAAUAAAGUAUUAUCCGUUCUGGACAAGGGAAUCGACGGCGUAGACGAUUUCCAUUGAAACUCCGGUUGAAAUCUAUGCUUCCACAUAUGAUAGUGGGAGAACGUUUCUGCGCUAGUUUUAAGUAAAUAAAAUUUCAGGCAUGGAUCAUACACAUGGAUAGACCUAAACGAUCAAAACAACCAGAGUUACUACAACACACUACCACUGUAAUACGAUUAAUCUGUUAUCGUCAUAACAAACUUUUCUUUCUUUCUUUUUUUUUUUUUGAGGAAAAGGAAAAACACGAAGAAGCAUUGUAUUUAACAUCUUAUGUUAUAUAAACGCGAUCGAGACGUGACGUGAGAGUGAGUAACCUGAGAGAAGGAGAGAAGCUUCGAGAUAAUCGUUGUUGUUGUCGUGAGAGUCGCCGGAGCUGGAUCUACGGCGGGAGGAAUCGCAGGAAAUGAGGAUGGAUCUGCGGCGGCGGGACCGGAGCGGUGAGAGGUGGAGCGGCGAGAAGUCGACGGCGACGGAGCUCGGAACGGAGCGGGCGGUGGAGGCGGCAUUCGUGUGAUCCGCUGCGGCGGAGCCCACGCCGGAUACGGUGCGGACGCAGAAACGUGAACCCAGCAUUUUGAAUCGAAACAACGACGUAGAAUGCUGAGAAGGGAAGAGAGAGAGAGAGAGCGGAGAGGGUUGUUGAGAUUGAAUGCGAUGAGGAGAGGGCACAGGACAGGUUUGUAAUUGUGGGAGUGGAGUUGAUGUUAUUAUUGUAAUUGUUUAGUUAAUUGGUUAAUUUAAUUAAACUAAACCUCAUUUUAAUUGUGCCUGCUUUAUGCUCUUGAUGAUGAUGGAUGGAAUGCAUCAUGCAUGAGAUGAGAUUCUUAUCGUGGCGUUGCUAGCUAUGCUUUGCUUUUAAGUUUUAUCACACUCAUUCAUGGACCAACAUUGUCGGUUUCGGGCUGCAAAUAGUAAUAAAGAAAUAAAAGAUAAAUAAAUAAAACAAUUGUCCUCGUUGUUGAUGUAGAUAAGAAGUUGAAAUUGAGUCAUUUUUCUAUGGAAUCGAAAUUUAUAAAAAUUUAUAUAUUUUAUUCAAUUAAUUGAGAUACACUCCUUAAAAUUAGAAUUGAGAUUUAGUUGUUAGUAAGAUUUAGUUGUUAGCACUGAUAUGUAUCUUUUUCGUAAUCUAAUUAAAAUUUGGCUGUUAUAAUCAUAAAAAAAUAGCUGUUAUAAAAUUGGAUCUGAUCGUAUCAAGUGUCUUUUUGUCAACAAAGAUAUUUUGACUCUGCUGAUGCUGAUAUUUUUCUCUGUUUCUUUCCACAAGUUAGCGAACACUUUGGAGAACGAAAUAUCUUGUUUUUCUUCCAAUUAAAUUAAAUAUGAAUUGAGGCAAAAAAAAAAAAAUUACACUUCUUUGUAGUUAUCAUAUUUUGAAUAACAAAUCUUAAUAUUUGAAAAGAAUCAUAUUAAGUACUGAAAAUAUUAUACUGCUACUUAUAUUAAACCUUUAAUUUAAUACGGAUUUAUCUUUAAUGUCGAGAAUAUGCCGCAGUGCAUAUUAUAUACUACUAGUACUUUUUUAUGACAGAUAUAUACUUGUACUUAUUCAUAGCAAAAAUAAAUAAAUAUUUAUAUUAAAUAACACUUUAAUUUAGUACAGGUUUAUGUUUAAUGCCAAGAAUAUGCCGAGUACAUAUUAUCUAUGAAGCACCGACACCGAUACAGACACCAGACACGACACGGAUAUGAACACAUGGACACCUAUAAUAUCCAAAAUAUAGAACGUAAUACGGGUGUCGUGUCGGUGUCGGAGACUGACACGCGUGUCAAACACCAAACACGACAAAGGGCUGAAGUGUCCGUGCUUCAUAGCAUACUAUACCUGAUAUAUAUUUAAUUAGCCAAGCUAUUUUCUUCGCCAAAUCAGGUAAGUUUCCUGGGAACACAAUUGAUGCUUGAUAUAAGAAAAAACAUGUCUAGGGUUCCAAGAAUAGAUACGAUUUCAAUUUCACUGGCUAUGGUCGAGGUAUCGUAGCUGGCAUUCAGAUUUUAAAUAACUUUUCAACAAAAAAGGUGGGGAGGGGAUGUCAAUUUUCCUUCUUUUCAUGAAAACAUUCUUAUGGAGAAUAUAUAUAUCCAUUAUUUCCAACAAAUUACUUUAGUUUAUAUCUUUUCAAAACUUUUUUUUAGACAGCUUUUCACGCCCACAUAAUUAAUGGAUAAAUAUUAUCCCAUGUUCAUUUUUACACUUCAUUCAAAUCCUAAUUAUUCAUCCUUUUUAUAUGGAACCUAUUGAUCCGAUUGGAUUUUAAAAUUUAAUAAAUAAAAAAUUUAAAAGUUGACAAGAUUUUCUUUCUUUAUCUCUUAAUCCUUACAUGCACAAAUUUAAUUAACGAAAUUUAAGUUUUAAUAUCAAUUAGAUUGAUAAUUUAUUCGGGUGAUACUUUUUUAAUAUUUUACUAUUUUUUUGUUUAUUUAAAUUUAUAUAUUUUUUUAGGUUAAAUUACUCAUUUGGUCUCAAUAAUUUCAUGAUUCAUACUUUUAAAUUCCUAUAGUUUGAAAGUGAUUUUUUUAGUUCUUAUGAUUUAUAUUUUAAUUCUCUUUUAAUCUCUAUAGUUUAAAAGUGAUCUUUUUAAUCUUUAUAAUUUGUAUUUUAAUUCUCUUUUAGUUCCUUGAAAGUGAUUUUUUUAGUUCCUAUAAUUUGUAUUUUAAUUACCUUUUAGUCCUUAUUACAAAAAAAAUAUAUAAAAAUAAUUAACCACAAAUUAGUUAUUAAUUAUCAACUAUUUUUUAACAAAUUAUCUUACGAUAAAUUAGUUAUGAAUACUAAUAUUUUUAUAAUUAAUUAUAAUUGAUAAUAUUACUUAUAUUUUAAUGAUAAGGAUUAAAAAAGAAUUAAAAUAUAAAAUAUAGGAACUAAAAAGACCACUUUCAAAUUAUAAAGACUAAAAAAAUUAAAAUAUAAAUUAUAAGAACUAAAAAAAUCACUUUUAAACUACAAAGACUAAAAGAAAAUUAAAAUAUAAACUAUAUAACUAAAACAAUCAUUUUAAAACUAUAAAAACUAAAAAGUAUAAAUAAUAAAACUAUACGGACAAAAUGAGUAAUUAAACUUAUUUCUUAAUUCUUUCUCGAGUGAACCUAUCAAACUAACUUAAAACAGGUUGGAUUAAUAUUUUAUAAUUUAAACACGUUUUAAAAAUAUGGUAAAGUGAAUCCAAAUCUUUUUAGCAGGAUAUCAAGUGUAUGUUGACCCACUUUGACAUCUCAUCUUGUUUAAAAUUCGGUCUUGUAAGACUUACGAUAAUGACUCUAUAUAACAUACUGCCACGUCAGUGUGUUGCUUUCAUGGCUAAAACAAUGCUACCACAAUUAAACAACAAGUCAGCCGUAACUGAAGAAUGUAGAGAUUCUCUUAAUCUCUUCAACCUGUGUCUUUGCUAAUUCCACGUAUAAAUUUCCAUGUAGUCACUCGUAAUUAGCCAUGAAAUGAUGAAAUGGUACCACCCCUAAAAUUUAUUGGAGCUUUUUUCCAGUUCAAAAAAAUUAAAUGGCAUUGUUGUUUUACACUUUUACUGCAAAACCAAUGACAGCAUUCUUGGGGUGACCUUUUUUAGACUUUAUAUUGCACGGGUUGUGCAGUGUUCUAGUAUUGUUAAUUAUAAGCAUCGAUCCCAAAUAAAUAUUGCAUUGCCUUCACCAUGAUGCUUAAAACAACCUUACUACAAUUUUACAUAUACAAACUUUAGAACUAACCCUCAAUAAGAGUCUCACCAGGGACAUAAUCAAUUGUUCUUAUGUAAGCAAGUGAAUAAAGCAAAUUAUGUUUCACAACGUGUCAAGGUCAACAACCAAUUCAGAAUUCAGAAAACCAUUUUAAAGAAACGUAAUGCUUCAUUAUUAUAAGUAGUUAAGUACACGUAGUCUAACUCAUUAAUAGAAGUCUAUAAUAGAAUACUCAAUAUGACAAUCCACAAAACCAAUCGUUGAUUUUCUGGCAAAAAACCAUCAUCGAAUGAUUGCAGAGGCAGAGAAUAUGACCGAAAGCUUCCUAAAACAAUUAAACCCAACCAACCCACGCAUCAACAGCUCUAAAAUCUAAUGUGAAACAAAGAAAGCCAGCAGGGUGAGUAAACAAAUAAAACAGUUUAAUUUUCAUACACUAUCGAUGUAAAGAUUUUCAUUGCCAUAAUGAAAUAUGAUUGGAUGAUAAUAUAAUUUUUUUUUAAUUAGUGUUAGUGCAUUUAAAUUAAAUUCAUAAAAAAUGUCAAUGACAGAGGUACAAGUUUCUGUUACAUUUAGUUUCACAGACAGAAUGAAGAAUGACUUCAACAAAGACAACUUGAAAGAAAUGUUCCUGCCAUUUCAUAAACAUGAAAUUAAAUGUAAGCAUCAUACAGAACAAAUAUGAAUAUGAUGCAACUUCCAUCCAUGACCUACUUCUUUUGUGGAAUUGAUGAUCCUUACCCAUUUCUUGUUAUUAUUUUAACAAUUACAAACUGGGUAGUUACACAAUAGUUAGGCACAGAUAAUUACUAUUUACUACCAUCCACAUCGACACAAACAAAACUAGUGCUUAGGAUAAUAUUGUGUUUGUGUAUGAAGCAUCUUUACACUAUCGACCUCAUUAUACAGUAUGUUUAAUAUUUUUUCUUCUAUUUUCAUCCCCUUAUAAUAGACAGCGACACAAGUACAAAGGUCAUACUACAAAGUACCCAUCAAAAAUUCUUACUCGGUCGAUUUACACUGCCAGUAGGGUUUCCAAAAGUGCAUGUCAAACUCCCUGGCCAUAGAAUUCAACGACAAUUGACCUACAAUAAAACCCAGUGUAUCACAGAAAUGAUUCAAUGCACCAACCAAAAACAACAUUAAAAAAACAUCCAUAACAGCAUGCUGGGAAUGAAAACAAUAUACUUACUGCUGUUGGUGUCAGUUGAAAAUUUGAAGAACACAAAUGGAAAACUAAUCUCUGCACCUCUGGUGUAAUGUGACUGCCUCCUGAAGUCACAACACUAAGUGUUAAUCUUGAGCAACUGAUUUACACAUUUGGUUCCCACAACUCAAUAAUCAAUUAGAGAGCAAUAAUGGGGACACUACUGAUUAAAAUCCUUCUUACUUGAUGAGCAUGAGAAGACAUAUAGGUUUAACCAAGGAUAAAAAUGGAGAAAUUAAUUCUUUUCCCAAUCUAAGAUAGAUCACCAUAAGGGGUUAAAAAUAAAUAUAUUUGAAAUGAGAAGGACACUAAAUCACAUCUGACAUGGAUAAAGAAACCACAUCCCUUGUUCUGCUCUUGGUACAACAGGAACGAUACAGCUACAUUUCCAAAUGUCUGGGAACUAGAGACAACACCAUUUGUCAAAGACACCCUUGAGGCUGCUUUAACAACUUGAUUAGCACAUACGUUUGGAAACUUUGACCAGAGUAAAGACAAAGGUCAAGUGGAGUUAAACCAUCCUGACACAAACAGCAGAGAAAUUGCAAUUUAAAAAUCAAAAUCAGCAUAAAAUAAAGGGCCAGCAUUAACCUGAUAGACAAAGAAAUUGAACACUCAACCACUAUUCUCAGAUUUCUCUCAUUUAACAAGUAACAGCUGAAAUAUUUGAAGAUGCAAGUAAUGUAUGUAACAAGUAACAACUGACAACAAGUUGCAUGCAGUUCAGGACAUGGAGGAAAUUUAGCAAAAAUUAGAAAUUCCUCAAUUACAGCAGUAACAAAAUCAAUCAUACCUUAUCCUACUGAGGUUGGCCACUUAACACAUCACGCUCAAUCAAAAACCAAAUUAUCAAUAAAACCAUUAUUCCAUCAUGUCAUUAAGAUUUGACAAAACUUCAUGUCAGCUUGAUUCAGGCAUGGGACUAGCUAUGUAAAGUUUAGCAAGCAAACAUUAGAUUAGGAAAGUUCAACAAUUCUUAAAUUACUUUUGAAAAUUUUUCUUCAACAACUAAUAAUUUUUUAAUGACUUUAGAAAGGUUUCCCUGGUUUACAGGCCAAUCUAAAAGUAUCUCAAUUUCUAAAUAGAGAAUCAGGGACAUCAAAAUGACCUUUCAUUCAAAUCACCUAACUAGUUUAUAUGACAGAGUCAAAUGGUCUAAAUAGCAAUGACAGCUGAUAUUCUAUGAAUGAUCCAGUUAUAGCAUCUAUAUUCAGGUAAUAUUAUGCACAAAGUCAAGGUUCUUUCAAAUUUAUAUAUUAAUGCAGGCGAUCAACAGAUAAUUACCUUGUUUCUUAAUGUCUUAUCAGCACCUUUAAGCAGCAGAAGCCUAACUAAAUUUGGUCUGAGUUUGAACAGCAAGAUUUAAUGGUGUCCAGCCAUCCUGAAACAGAGAAAACAAAUUUAUAUUCUCAAAAGGCACUGCAAAAGAUUACAAGGUACAUAUGUUAAAUAUGAGAACAAUUAACCAAUAACCAUACAUUGUCUUGAAGAUUUAUCUCUACAAUAUACAAUAAGAGUAAUUCAAUUGUCUCAGUAGAAGCUGUUUGUACAGCAUAGUGCAUCAAGGUGGCCCCCUCCUAUUUCCAGACGUAAACAACAAAUUAGAUGCAUAAAAAUAACAGCAACAAGCAAUGAAUGAAGCCUAUGAUAAUAAUAUGUUGUCAUAUUAAGAUGGAAUGAUAACAGUUACAAUUUCUCAACGGGGGCAGGGAGAGCACAAAAUAUCACUUAAGAAAAUUAGCAUGUAGAGGCUCAUAUAUGCAACUAUGGUAAUUAAGUAACUUUUUACUCACUUUGUCCCGUACAAACGCAUUAGCUGAGUUUUUUAGGAGAAAAUUGGUUAUGACCUGCUUUUUGCCAAUCGCUUUGUGAAGGGCAGUCAAACCAUCCUGGAAACAUAGUAAAUCACUAGUUUAAAUCAAUGACUCCAUGCAUUUUAUUCUCCCAUUAAAAGUUAGAAUUUAUAUACCUUAUCCACCGAAUUGAUAACAGCAUUAUGCUUCAACAAAGAAUCUAAAAGGUAAAGUUCUCCACAUGCAGCAACAGUGUGCUGAGGAAGCCAUUUACCCUGAAAAUAAUAUCAGUAUUAGCCAAAAAAAAUUACAUUAGUCACCAAACACCCUCUAAGGAGGUGAAACAGAACCCUUUUCCCUCCCUACACCUUUACCCUGGUUCUGACAGAAAGGAAAAUGCAACAUCCCAAUAACAUUUUCUAGUCCCAAUUACCUAAUCCAAACAAGACCAACAAGUGACAACACAACAUCAACAACUACUGAGAUUGCUCAACAACAUCAUCGGUGGAACAAAUGUAACAAAGCCAUCCCAAUGAAGAAGAACUAGAGAACUUUUCUUUCCAAUAUAACAAACAUAACGAUGAUGAAGUAUAAGUCAUUGUAAUUUUAACUUACGAGAGAAACUCGUUUCAUUUUUUUUUCCUCUUAUUGUUUUCUCCUAGAAGUACUUACGAAGAAGAUUUCCCAAACAAGAGCAAAAUCAUUUACUCAGUAAAAAAAAAGGGUGAAAAUAGACAUUGACCUUUAUGAGUGGUCUUAGAACUAGGGUUAUAGCUCCAACUAUGAAAAACUGCAUGACAUCCUCCAAACCCUUCCCGUGAAGAAACCCUCUGGGAUCCUUAGGCUCUACACGCUCGCCAUUGAAGUCAGGUUCUGGAAGCUUCGCUUUGACGUGAAACGUAGAAGGGUUCUUGAGAACCAGAGGAUUGAUCUGUCUCAAUUUACAUCCUUGUAGGGACUCAACCCUCUUCCAUUUCCCUUCUUCUCAAGCUCGAUUUUCUUUGCAUCUCUUAAGGGAAGCAACCCUCUUCUCUUCUUCUUAUUAUUCUUGCGCCUCUCGUUAAUGGUGAUUUUGGUCUCUGACUGAACUUCUCUCGUAUGGGUUUGGGUUUUGCGGAGAAUUUGAGGGGAGAGAAGAGUCAGUGAGGUUUAGGAUAGAGAAAGGGAACAUAGUGGCUGCAAAUACUAACGUUCAAACUUCAAAGCCAGUAUUUGGUUUCCCUGUUUCUAGUUAUCAGACAAUGUCUCUACUCUGCAACAAAGCCCCAGCCUAAAGUUAUAUACUAAUAUAACUAGUACGAUACCCGUGAGAGAAAUGAAAUAAAGAAUAUAAUGGAUAUUUAAGAUUUAAAAAGGAAGAUUGGGGUGUACUUAUUAAAAAGGGGUGCAAGUAAUUUCCAGUGUACAUUGUUUUAUUAUAUAGAUAGAAAUAGAUAGUAGAAGUAGAUGUGCGUGGAUAGCAAAAUUCCUAUCCAACAAAAUCAUAGUAAUACUAUGGAAAAAAAUAAUUUGAUUUUUACUUUUAUUAUAAAAAAAUAAUUGAUUUUUUUCACCAUAAAUUAUUCUAAACACACUAACUGUUUAUAUAUUUUUUUAUCAGUAGAGAAUUACCAGACAAAAAGUAAAAAAGAAAAACACUUAAUUCCUAGAAUAGGAGACACCCCAAGCAUCUGCCAACACGAGAUGUCUCAACUAAGAUGGACAUUGUUGUAAGAACACCAUGGAGUGAAUUCAUAUUUAAGUAUUUAAUUAUAACUUAGUACUCAAUAAUGAUAGUUUAAUAAUAAUAAAUAAUAAUUAAUGGAAUUUUGAACCUACACUAUCGAAUUAAAAGUUUAAAUUAAAAUAAUGGCAUUGACUUGAAUUUCAGAAAAAUAAAUUUGGCAAGAUAAAGAUAUUCGAGGAUAUUUUUUUUAUCUUGGAAAUAUUGGUUUAAAUAAAUGCAUUGGAAAAUGUAAUUUUGCAUAAAAGAAAUUUUGGAUAAAAAAUAUACAAAGGUUGCAUGAGAUGCUUAUGUAAUAUUAAAGUAACCACAACUCUAUCAACAUUGGUUAGUUUAAGUAAUUGGAACUUGAAUUUUUUAAGUAUAUGAUUAGGAGUCUGAAUUCUAACUAAUACGUAUGAAGAAAUCAUUGAGUUUAAAAAUCUCAGUGACCAAUCGAGGUACUCCUUUAUAAUCACUUAGAAUAUUACCCCAAAACAAUUGUCUUUCUUGUCUUCUAGAUAAUUGUUGAGACUUGUUGAAAUUUCGUUAACAAUUUCUCAAGAAUUGUUGAAUUGGAAACUUUCAUUUUUUUCUCUCUCUUCUUUGUUGGCGGAAGCUAAGGGUUGUUAUUAUUUUUUUGUUUUUCUUCUAAGAAUGAUAGUUCUUUAUUAUUUUGGUAUUUAGCUACUAAUUUUUAUUAGGACAUUUUUAUUCAUUCAUCAAACUUUUUUUUUCUUUUUUAUGAAAAAGACAUCCAAAUUUGCCCACAAUUUUUUUUUUGACAAACAAUUUUGUCCACCAUUUAACAUGUAUUGGUCUAGCCAAAUAAUGAAGAUCUAUUUCAUUGGUAAGUGCCACUUAAUCAUAGCCCCAUGACAUAAUCUAAGUUAUUCCUUGACUAGCCAUAAACCAUAUGAAUUGGUAUCCUUGAAAAAAGUGAUUUUUUUUCUUUAAAAUAUUGAUAUUUGUCUUUAACUUGCAUUAGUAAUGUAGUGGAUCCAAAAAUGUAAAACUACUUCAUGCUUGAUACAUUGUACUUCAUGCAUCUACCUCAACCCACCACUACGUCAGCCAUAAUAGGUUACAUGAGUGAUACAUUGUACAUGUAAUUCAAUUUUUUUAAAAAAAUGGCAUGUCAUUUUUGUUACUUUUUCAUAUGGCUGGUUACUUAACCAACCAGUCACCAAUCGAACUGGUCAAUCCAGUCCAUUUUUUUAACCAUUGGCUUUUUGUUGAUUUGCCCAAGGCAUAUUCUUAGUAAAAACCAGUAAAAGCAAUUUCAUGGGAAAAUAGUUGACACUUGAUAGAGAAAAGAAAAGCCAUGCCCGGAGUUCAAGAAAGACGCAAUUUAAAAAUGGCAGACCAUUUUUCUUUCUUUUCAUGAAAAUAUUCCUAUUUUCCUUCCUAUCACAUUUAAAAUAUACAUUUUAAUUUUAAUAUAGUACAAUACCGUAGUUGUCCCAAAAUUUCCAUGUGACCAAGGGAUGCUAAUUGUCAUGCAAAAUUUGGCAACGGUUAAUCUUCAUUUGUUGGUCCAAAUCUUUCAGAAGUCGUAUUGUUUCUUAGCCCCGUCUGUCAUACUGAUACAUGACUAAGACGUCUUUGAGGCUGCUUAAACAACUUGAUUAGCUCAUAUGUUCUGGCACUUUGACCAUUGUAAAGGCAAAGGUCAAGAGGAGUUAAACCAUCCUGAGAUAAACAACAGAGAAAUUUCAAUUUAAAAAUCAAUGUAAAGGAAAUGUCAAGCAUUAAGCAGCUAAUAAGACAUGCGCUCAAAAGAGUGUGUUAGAGAAUAUCUUAUUAGCAUUUCUUAUUCGACAAUCACUUUUAAAAACUUAUCAACAAAUAAUGACUUAGGGAAUUUUCUCUGAUUGAAGGGAAAAUCUCUGUAAAUAUCUCAAUUUCAAAAUUGAGAAUCAAGGUAUGGAUAUCACAAUUGCCUUUCAUACAAAUCACCCAACUAGUACUCCCUCUGAACUCAUAUAUAAACAGAAAAGUUGUCUUGUAUACACAUCUAACUAAUGUUGUCAUAUUUAAUGAUAUCAUUCCUAAAACACCCUUCAUUUAAUUCUAAUUUUAUUUACAAUGACUCUUUUAUUCAUGAUAACAAGUCAUUUUAGAAAUAACUUUAUUUUUUACUUGAGAUUAGAAAAAUUAAAUGAAGUCACUAACUUUCUUAAUUAACAUCAAAUUAGUUAUUUUUGCUUAUACGAGUCCAGAGGAAGUAACUACAUAUGGCAGAGGCAGACCUUCUAAAUACCAAUCACAGCUGAUAAUUGAACCAAUGAUCCAUUUUAAGCAUCUGCAUUCAGCUAAACUAUGCAAGACACUGAGGUUCCUUCACAUUGAUAGAUUAAAGAAAAAAAUCCAUAGGAAAACUACCUCAUUUUUUAAUGUCUUAUCAGCACCUUUGAUUAGCAAAAGCCUCACUAAAUCUGUCCUCUGAGCUUGAACAGCAAGAUGUAAUGGUGUCCAGCCAUACUAAGACAGAGAAAAUUAAUUGUGUUCUCAAACAGCUCACCAUAAAUGAAUAAAAGGUAGAUAAACUAACCAAGAGAAAAUUUAAUCAUACAUUGUCCUGGAGAUUUAUAUCCACAUUAUACAAUAAGAGUAUUUUAAUUGUCUGGGUAGAAGCUGUUAGUACAGCAUAGUGCAUCAAUGUGGCUCCCUCCUGUUUCCAGAACAUAAACAACAAAAUAGAUGCAUAAACUUUUCAGCAGCAGGCAACUAAGGCUUAUGAUAACAAUAAGCUGUUAGAUUAAGAUGAAAUGACAACAGUGACAAUUUUUCAAUGGGGGCAGGAAGAGCUUAAAAAUCAGUAAGUAAAGAGUCACAUAUGCAACUAUAUCGGGACAACCCAACCAUUUAGUAGUUUUUUACUCACAUUAUCCUGUACAAAGGGAUUAGCUGAGUUUCUCAGGAGAUAAUUGAUUAUGGCCUGCUUUUUUCCAAUUGUUGCUCUGUGAAGGGCAGUCAAACCAUCCUGGAAACAAAGUAAAUCAGUAAAGUAAAUAGAGAAGUCAUGCAUUUCAAUCUCCUUAUGAAAAGUUAGAAUUGAAAUACCUUAUCCACAGCAUUGAUAUCAACAUUAUGCUUCAACAGAGAAUCUAAAAGGUGAAAUUCUCCACAAGCAGCGAGAGUGUGCAGGGGAAGCCAUUUAUCCUGAAAAUAAUAUUAGUAUCAGCCAUCAAAAAAUAAUUGAGAAUAUUCAAGGCUACAAGUAAGUGAAUCAGAACCCGUUUCCCUCCCUACACCUUAAUCAUCAUUCUCACACACGCACACAAAAAUGCAACAAGGUGUCCAUGAACUGAGUAUCCAGUCUAGUAAAACUGACAACAUCAGUAUCUACUGGGAAUAUGGGACUACUCAAACAACAUCAUUGGUGGAACAAAAAUUCACAAUCAUGGCAAACCAGAGAGUUUUUCUUUUCCAACAAUAAUAAGCAUACAACAAUGGUAAAAUAUCAGUCAUUAUCCUACAUAUAACACUUACUGAAGUAGCAGCUGCCAAGUCUGGUAUCCUCUUAUUCAACAAAACCUUCUCCUCCUUAUUAAACAACUUCCGGCGACCUAUUCACGCAGGCACGGAAGAAUUAGAACAGCCAUCCCAACACUUUAAAAGUCCAUAUACACGCAACAAGACGAACACAACAAUCAGUGAAUUAAAUUAUUCAUUUCUUCAAAAUGUAAUUCCUCAGUCCACAUUGCCAUCCAUCAACUAGCAUAGUAUGAAGUACUAAUAGUAACCUAAUCAGUAAGUUAGUUCAUGUUUCAAAGAAAAAGUCCAAAAGGGCAUAAGAAAAUGGAUAUACCUCCAGGGGUUUUAGCAGUAGGGUCAUAGUUGUCACUAUUGAAAAACUCAGUGACAUCCUCCAAACCCCUCCCAUAAACAGCCCACCUAGGGUUCUUAGGCGCAACACGUUCACCACCAUCCAAUUCAGCUUCAGCCUCAAACUUUUCUCCGCGAUUCAAUUGAGGUUCAGGGACAUUUUCGUCCACCGGAAAACUAGAAGAGUAAUCGAGAAGCUUCAUCUGCGCCAAUUUGGCUUCCUUAUAAGCCUUGUAGUCAUCCAAAUUCAUAUCCCUAAGGGGAAUCAAGCCUCUUCUCUUCUUUUCAACCUUGCUGUUGAACUCCACUUCCCGCGCAAUCUUCCGCAUCUCCCUCUUCGUAAUGUUUAUCUCCGCCUGAACCUCUCGCCACUUGUCCGGGACCAAAUUCUCGCCCAAUGUCUCCUCCACUUUUUUCCUCCAACUGGGCCUGGGCUUGGGCUUGGGCUUAUCGACGGUAAGAUUGUCGGGAUUGUGGUGGUGGUUAUGGAAAAGCGGUUCGUCGAAAACGCCGUCCUCGAACACGACGCAGUCGCCGAUGACGUGGUCUUCGGAAUCGUCGUAUUGCGGCGUUGGGUGCAGCGAUGGCGAGAUAGAGCGGAGGUUCCAGUUUCUGGGGAAUUGUAGAGUUUGUGAAAGUUGGAGGUUGCGGGAAGUAAAAAAGGGGAGUGGAAAGAGGAAAGUGUGAGGUUGAGGAUUCAGCGCAACGGUGGAAACAUGGAACAUGGUGGCUGCUGCUCCUAACACUCGGUGACCUCAAGUCUGUCUCUUUUAUUGCUCAUAAUAAUAUUUGAUAAAUUGCACAUUUUAUAUCCAUGUGCCUAAUUCAAACUACAUUUUGAAUGGUGAGUGUUUAUAUUAACGCUCCCCUUAUGUUAAUCGCAGUAUAGCAUAACAUAAAGAAAACAUUGUGUUAUCUUGAGACACUAUGAUUGAAAAUUUUGAAUUUAAACUCAUAUGAUUUAUAUUUAAAUGUUUUUAUUAUAAAAUUAAAUUAAGAAUAUUUUUUUAUCUAAUGAAAAAAUAACUCAGUUGCUUAACUCAUAAUUAAUUUUAAUUUUUUAUUCAAGGUAAAAUUAAAUAUUAAAAUUAAUUAUGAACUCAAAAUUAAUUAUUUAAGGUAAAAUUAAAGACACACUUAAAUAUUAAACUCUGACAAUACCUUUAAGAGAUAAGGUUAUAUGAAAAUGAUAUCACUCCUUGUUAGUGGAUUCUACUUUGUAUUUUGAAUGACUAAUAACAUGUGUUUAAUUUUGCAUCAAGAGACAUAAUUGACUAUUUUCUAAGUUACAAUAAAAGUUACCAAUUUUAAAUGUUCAUGCUUUUUACUUGUUUGACUUGAUUUUUGUGUUACGAAUGGAUCUCAAGCACACAUUUAGCAAUUUAAUAGAAUUGAUUUAGUGAUAAGAUAUUUGAGUAAUUCGUAUGAAUUUUCAAGUUCAAUAUGUUAGCAAAAUAUUAUGUGGCUCUUGUUUGUGUUUGAUUUGGUUACUUUAUUAUUACAUUUAAUUGCUUGAUAAUGAGUAGUUAUAAAAUAAUAAAAUAUGCUAUUACAAUAGUUAUAAUAACAUUUAACUGUUCUUAGCAGAGGAACUAACGAGAGACUUUAUGAGAUGAUAAUAAGGAGGAGUCCCUAAUCCUUACUAUAAAUAAUCCUGUGAUAUUUUAUUGAUUAACACACUAUAGAAAAAUCUAAAAGAUUAAAAGAUCUAUCUCUUUUUCUAAACACGGCAUUACUCUAUAUUUUAACUGUGAAAGAUAAUGUAGAAUUGAACUCUUUUUCUAAACACGGCAUUACUCUAUAUUUUAACUGUGAAAGAUAAUGUAGAAUUGAACUUAGCAGCAAUGGUUAUAUGAUAUAUGCUUAUGCUGUUUUUUUACACAGAUAUGCUUACACUUAUUUAAUAAUAUUAUUUAUAUUAUAAACUGAGGUUUUAAAUUCUCUUACACAAUAUUCGUAGUCGUCGCCACAAAAGACUUUCAACCUAUUUCCGGUUAGAGUAUAGAUGAUAUGCAUGAGUAAAACCAAUGAUAGUAUCUUCUACAUUCUUUGGUUAUUUUGAUGUGAAUUUUAUGUAGGAAUGUAUUAUUUAUUAGAAUUAGAAUUCAAACACAAUUCUCAGUUAAUGACUAUCUUGAUUUAGAAGUAGAACUCACUAAAAUAUUGUUUUCAAAUUUUAGCUAAUAUUAGGUUAUCUUUACAAGUAUAAAAUUAUAUAUAUUUCAUGAUUUCACAUAAAAAUCUGUUAAAUAUUAGAUUAAUAAGCACAUUUAUAUUUAAAAAGAUUCAAUAAUUUAAAGUAAUUUAAAAAUUAAACUUAAAAUAAAUUAUCCAAACUUGGGCAAUCUUUUGUUUCCACGCCUACCCCCCUUGCAAUAAGAUGGAAACGUAUAGAACUGAAGGAAAUGAACUGUAAUUUACUCAAAAUUGCGACUUUUUAUUUAUUAGUACGAAGAAACGAACUAAAAAAAGAUCAGAGACAAAGUGGAACUCUACCGAGUACUGAUACGAGGUCUUGUAGAACAAUUUGACCAAUAAAUUAUGAAUUGUAUAAACUAGUUAAAUACCGAACAAAUAUAAGUGUACAAAUUAAAGCAUAAGUAGUGCAGACUAUUUCCAAAACAUGGAUACAAACUUUAGUCACGAUACCAUAAUAGAUAAUUUUUUCAUUACCAUCUUCAAACUUAAAAGACAUCACCUAGAUCCACGAGCAUACCUCCUAUCUGGGCUACCAUAUGGAGAAUAAGGAAGUGACCUGGACCUGUCCCUCCUAGAUCUUCCACCAUAAGGUGGGGGUGAGUGCCUCGGUGAAUAAUCUCUACCACCUCGAUAUGGUGGUGAGUGCCUUGGAGACCUUCCACGGUCACCACGAUAUCCAUAAUCAUCAUGACCAGAUCCACCUCCUCGAUACCUUCCAUGGUCACCACGAUGCCCUUGAGACAAACAGAUGGAGUUCAGUAAAAAAAUUUAUAAAACAAACACUUAAAAGAUUAGAUUCACCAUUCAACAGGUCUCAAACUUACCAUAGUCUCUAGUACUUUUAAGGCCAAGAUAGUGUCCAGGUGUAGGAGUUCUUGGCCGCUUUCUUCGUGACUGAAAUAAAAUAGACGCUCACAAUCCAUGGGGAAUUUAUUUGACAAAAACAAACUGCAUAAAUCAUUCAAGUACCACUGGAAGCAAAACAGAUUGAAUCUCAUGAUAUCCUUCUUGCCUUACUAAAUUGUAUUAACACUGACAUAUUAUAUUUAAGGGUGUCCUUUAAAAGAAAGUUUUAUCAACAUAAACAACCUAGCAUAUGAAAAAAGAAAAAAGUUGUAUCCACACACGAUUAAUGCUAGGCAUGAGAUACCAUAAAAGCCUGAUUAGAAAGUUGUUGAUAAUGUCCGUUGAUUAGUUGAGUUGAAAGUGAAUGCUGAGGUUGUAAAGUUGUUGGACAAUAUAGUUGCUAUGUUUAGUUGAUCAGAAGCAUUUGAUUAGCUGUUUAAGCUUGCCAUUGAUCAAGCUGUAUCACUAAAGUUGACAUGGAUGAACUGAUCAUCUUUGAUUGCUGCCAAAAUAGUUGAUGCAAUGUAUUCUGAAUAUGACCACAAAACCUUCAAGUUAAGAUGAAAGAAAAGCAUGAUUGUUUUUAGUAACUACUAGUAAAGUGAAGAACAUGUUACCCGCUCAACAGUAAUAUAGCGACCCUCUAAAACUGAUUGAUUGAGAUAUUUGAUGCAACGGUUCGCAUCCUCAACAGUAUCCAUUGUAAUAAAAGCAAAACCACGAGAAAUUCGUGUCCGCGGCUCCACCACAAGAAAGCACGAAGCAACCUAACAAAGAAGACAACUAUUGAUAUCCAUUCCAAAAUAUGGGACACACUAAUGUGGGAAACUGUGACAAUUCAAUGAAAAUGGAGAGGAAAUCAAAUAUGAUACUCACCUUUCCCUCCUUAGAGAAAUGCUCCUCUAGGUCUCUCUCAGUGACCCUUGAAGACAGGCCAGUCACAUAAAGUGUAGUUCCAGCAUUUUUAGCCUCAGACCUGGAACAUAAUUGACCAUAUUAUAAGCUCCUCAAACAACAUCAUUAAAUCAGAACACACAAGCACAGUUGUUCCCUUCAGAAAUACUUCAAAAUAUUAGACUUUAUUUUUCAGUGAAAGAAUUAUGAACAGAUACAUGUAAAACGGAAAGUGACUAACCUUUCGUUACUUCUUGAUCUUGAUCUGAACAAGACAACAUCAUUCAGUCCACAAUGUAGGACAGAGUGCACAAAAGGAAGAAAUAUCAGACAAAUUAGAAGGGAUAUAAUGGAAAAAAGAGUGGCACGGUCAACAGCCACAACUCUUGAAUGAUAUCAUGGUUGGCACUAACCUUCCACGACUUCUCGACCGGGAUCUUGGCCUUUGUUUCUCAAAAGAUCUUGACCGGGACCUAGACCUAGGCCUAGAUCUAGACCUUGACCUAGACCUUGACUCAGCCCUCCAUGGGGAAGGGGACCUUGAAUUCCUGAAAUAUUCAAUCAUCACCAAAGGGACAAAUGACUUCAAUAACCAAUAAUCUCAGAGUGCCCUCCACAUUCCUUUAACCGUGAGUUCGGAUUUAGAAUCUCAUAUUACAACAACAACACAAAGAAACAUCUCGUUUACAAACAAAUUAUUGCACAAAACUUGUUUGGGAUAAACUAAUUAAGAAUUUUAAUUCUGGACCAUCCUGAAUCUGGGCCAAGCAUCUGAGCUAGAUCUCGGUUGUGGAUCCUUCCGGACAAAGGCCAAAAUGUGUAGUCGACUACAUGUAACCCUUAGUAUUUCUCCACAGUUCUUUCACCUAUGGCUCGAGACUGGGAAGGCUGUGGACCCUCCCAAAUUUAGGUCGAGUUAAAUCUAGGUUCAAUAGCACCCAUAACUCAGCCGGAAUUCUGGGAUCCCCAGUGGAUCUCCGGUGAUCGUCCCUGUUUUCUCGCCGAGAUUGAGGAGAUCAAAUCCCAGAUCAACAGCCUAGGGCAAUACUACCACAAGGUGACCUACCUAGGGGGCUAGGGAAAACACCGAACACAGCACAACUAAAUGCUUCAGGCAUAGACUAUCUUCAGGACCUACCUACGAGGCUAAACGUAGACUGAAACAAAUUCAUUAGCAAAUCAUUUUCAAUGUUUCAAUUCAUUGUGCGUUAGAAUUACAAAAAACAUGAACGCAGACGAAGAUCAUGUCAAAUGCGACAUGAUGAUCGUGCAUCAGAAAUAUUUGAUUAUGAUGAUUACCAUAAUCUAAGAGGAUUAUGGGGUUUACCUUCUCGGUGGAGAAUCGGCCUGCAAAAUAAUUGGGGAAAAUAUUAAAACAGAAAAAAGAAAAUAAAAAUAGAGAACUUGUAAUAAUGGAUUGAGAAUAAUCCGAGUCAGGGGAAUGGAUUGAGCCAGAGAACUUGCCAUUGCCACGAGCUAAGAUCUUCAAGUGUUGACCCUCGAACGGAGAUGAAGAAUCAGGUAUAAGACGACGAAGGGUAACGGUUUUGUCGAAAAGCAAUAGCAAAUUGACCUUCAAUUCAUAUAGUGAGCUGUCAUAUGGGUAGGGUUAUUAAGACGGAUUAGGCUUGUUGAAUUUUGGGUGUUGCUAAGUGGCCCAUGUGAUUUUUUAACUUUUUUUUUCAAAAACAUGUUUUAUGAAUUAAUUUAAAAUUAAUGACUCAAAUAAGAAUGAAUAUGUGACUUUUCCGUUAUUAACACAAUACUCUAAUAGGCCAAUUAUAUCAUAAUAUAAUUAAUGUCUUUAUAUAUAAUAUUAAAAUUUUUAAUGUAUAUUUAAUGCAUGUAAAUUUAAAUAAUAAAUUUUGUGACAAUUAAUUUUGAUCUAAAUAUUAAUAUAUUUACAUAUAUGAAUUUUUAUGAAACUUAUGAUUUUUAUUUAAAAUUUAUAUAUGCAAAAAAAUACAUUAUUAGAUUAAAAUUAAUUGUAAUAAGAUCAAAAAAUACAUUAAUAGAUUUAUGUUAAUAAACCUAUGAUUAGCCAAUCCAUAAGUCUCACAAGGAUUGGCCAAUCCAUAUAAGCUUUACGGAAGAAUAAUAUUGGAAUCGUACUGUUGUACUGGGUGUACCAGCAAUUGUGCAGGUGCACAAAGCAACAGCCUUGAAUUUUUUGGUUGUCAAUGGACCAAUGAAAGGGUUUUUAUGGGAAAUGCUAGGUGCACCCAGCAACAUUGCUGGUGCACCCAGCAAUUAGGUGAAUGGACAAAAUUGCCCUUGCAUUAAAAAAAAAAAUUUCUUCUUCUGGAAGAAGGUUCUUCUGGAAAUCUUCCGGAAGAAGGUUCUUCCAGAAAGUUUCCGGAAGAACAAUUUGUGUUCUACCGGAAGAACCUUUUUCCGGAAGAACCUUCUUCCGGAAGCUUUCCGAAAGAAGGUUCUUCCGAAAGAACAAAUUGUAGUUCUUCGUGAAGACAUUGUUCCGGAAAGUUCCAGAAGAAGGUUCUUCCGAUAGAACAAUUUAUUCUUCCGAAAGAAGGUUCUUCCGGAUGAACAAUUUGUUAUACCGGAAGAACCUUCUUCCGGAUAAGUUACUGGAAGAACUUCUUCCGGUAACUUCUCCAGAAGAAGGUUCUUCUGAUAGAAUAAAUUGUUCUAUCGGAAGAACCUUCUUUCGAAAGAAGGAAUUAUUUUUUUAAUACAAGGACAAUUUUGUCCAUUCACCUAAUUGCUGGGUGCACCAGCAAUGUUGCUGGGUGCACCUAGCAUGUCCCGGUUUUUAUUCGCUCAUCACUUUUUACUAUCUUCACGCCUCAACUUCUCUUUUGCUUUUUUGAAGACCAAACUACCCAAAACACAUCCUCACCUUAGACCAGCAAUCCCGUUACAAGACCGUGAUAAGGAUGAAAAUGAAACUCAAGGAGUUCUGGUGAAGGUUCUAAGUUAAAAUAAAAUUACCCCUGUCUAAAGUAGAAAAAGAUAUGGGAGAGGAAAUCCAAAUUGCAUUGUCAUUCUUAGAUUUCAUAAGAUUAACUAGCACAAACUCUACAAACUACGUUGUUUUGGAACUCAUUUUUUGUGGUAAUGUGCAAGAAAUAUAGAUAGUGUCCUUUUUAUUCUGAUUGGCAUUAAAUGGUCUUACUAGGUUAUAAUUAUAUUGCUUUGUAAUGAUAUAUUGUAUUUGUUCAAGGUUCAUUCUAAUCAAAAUGGUUCUAGUGAAAAUACAAUAAUCUCACAAAUAAGGGAAGAGGAUGGCAUAACCAGAGCGAAAGCAAAUGGGUGUUGGAGGGGUUGGGGGUAAUUUUAGUACAAGAGAGAGAGCUUCGUGAUUAUUUUAAUUAAAAACUAUUCUAAUUCAUUAAUUUUUUUAUCCAUAAGCGUUCUCAUUUUUUAUAAAAAUAAUUGUGUUCUUGCCUCGUAUACUGAAUAGUGAAUACCCAUUUAGAAAUUUUGCUACUUUAAAAAAGUAUGAGGAAAAAACGUACAAUCUAUGAAUGCAGAUUAGAUUGCGAAAAACUAUGACCAAAUAAAGGAGGACAGGGUAACGGAUAUCUAUAAACUGGUGAUCCUUUCAAAAUAUGAAUCAAUUCUGUGUGAAAGAUUUACAAGUGAUCUGAACAAUCAUUUUUAAGUACAGAAAGCUACAUAACUUUACCCCCAACUUCUUUUUCUGUCCUCUUUCUCAGGAAGGGGCAGGCAACAAAUCACAAUCUUUACAAAUCUUCAACGACAUGAAUUCAGGAGUUUAAGUUGUUAGGAUAUCUGGAAUUGUCGUGGAGUGAGCCCCCAGUAUCUUACCCCCGGCAUCGGGGAAAUUCUCACAGUCAGGUAGGGAUCUAAUCUUCCCAUCGGAAUCUACCUGUACAGGAUACUUAAGAAGAUGUCCCUGCAAAAGUGAGAAAUCUUCAGAAGCGAAUAAUUUCCAAUUGUUGUCUGCAAUUUUAUUCACUUUAUGCACACACUCCAAUCUCUCUGGUUCUUCAAAAGUUUCAUCUAACAUGCCAAGAUGCUCUCCCCAAAGUGACAUUCUGUAACCAUAAAUCUGCAGGAACAAAAGCCAUCGAAUGUAAUAAAUAUAUAAUAUCACAUGGUAUAUUGGCACACAACAGCUAAGAGGUUCAUCACACCAUUCAGGCAUUGAUCAAUAUCCCAAGAGACAUAGUACAUAGAGGUACAGCCAUACAAGAGAUACAUAGGUGGAAAGUUAAACUAACAAUGAUUUUUAUUUGGUUACCUAUCCAUGAGAUCAUUAAGUAAUUCAAUAAUUUGGGAGGAAGUCAUUCACAUUCAGUAAAAGAUAAGGGUGAUUUUUCCAGGUCUACUUAUACCUAGAAUCACUAUGCAUUAUGUAAUCAAUUUAGAUAAGACAUGUGAUUUCGAACUCAUUAGAGUGCUCUCAGGUUGUCACAUGUCAUUUGCGGCUGGACAAAGAGAUUUACAAUUAGAAAAUUUGCUAUAAGAAUUAAAAGCUUAGGGAUAAAUACAAACCUGGCCAUGUGGAUGUCUUUUCUUUGCUGACCACGUGUAAUGGGGUUGAUAUGCACCCAUAGCUAUCUCAGUAUCUUUAGUACCAGCCAUAGAUCUUUGGUUUAUAUUAGCAGAUCCAAUUAUAACAUACUCAUCAUCGACGAUCAUCCCUUUAGCAUGCACAUAAAUCAUAAAACGGCGAUAUUUAUAUGCUGUUGAGACCUGACAAGGAAAAUAUACUCAACCCAUUCUUGAUCAUUAAAAUAUCUUCUACAGUUUGAAUGCUAACAAGGUAAAAUCUAUCCUCAGUCCUCAUGUAUGAAAUCAAGCAAUCAAUGCUUUGGACAAUAUAUAUUACGAAGCUUAGGGCAAACAAAAUAACAUUUUAGAAUACAUCAUUUUGUUUGUGAGUGAGCGAUAUUACAGGCAAGACAUUACUAUUAUUGUUGUCAAUAAACUAACUAAACUAGCGUACCCCAUUGCCCAGAGGCUCUUCGCUAUGCGAAGGUAUGAGGGAGGGAUAUUGUAUGCAGCCUUACCCUUGCAUAUGCAAAGAGGCUGUUUCCGGAUUCGAACCCAUGACCAACAGGUCACCAAGGCACAACUUUACCGCUGCACCAGGGCUCGCCCUCACUAUUAUUGUUGUCAAUAUGAAGAAAAUUUCAUCCUCUACAGUAGCAGAUAACUAUGAUAUAAAGCAACCACAUAUGGUCUAAUAUGUUAAUAAACUUCAUUUUAAAGAAGCUUAAAAGAAAAGAAUUAUGAUAUACUGAAGGUAAAAACAAGAUGGCUAUAAUAUUAUUUUAGAAAAUCACCUGUGCACCAUUUGUGCUUGAACUAUCUUCAUUAAAGUGUUCCCGAUUACCAAGGCAAUAAAAAUUGAGGUAAUCUUGUGGGUGCACAUCAGUAAGCUGCAUUGAUUUCAAUUCUCUAGCAACUGCAUCAUACAUCAUUUGCAUCGUUUGGCCCUGUAUACAGCAAACAUAUAAUUGAGAAUAAAUAUUUUCUUUUUUGUUACACUUACACUUUGAUCUUUUGAAGCACUAAAGUUUAGAAAGAUCCCUCUAACAUGGAAGUUGCACUUUAGAGAAUAAAUUGCAGGUUUCGUAACCAUAGAUGAAAAUAAAUGGUUGAUUUUGUCAAGAUACAACCACAUGGACAAACAGACCAGUAUUCAAUAGGCUAUAGGCCCAUUUGUGAGGUUUAUAGUAGGAAAGGAAAAGAGGGUACAGGGAACAGAAAAUGAGACAAAGGAUGUAGGCUCAUGAGUGUAUGAGAGGAGGAGGGAACAUAUUCCACAAGGGGAAUUCAUGGGAGUGAGGAGAGAAAGAGAUAACAGAAUUGACAUGGUGAAGAGUGAGGGGAGAAGGGGAUACUGGAAUUAGAAAGGGAGAGAGUGAAGGAUUAUAUAUGGGUGUCGUAACCGAAUAGGGGGUAUGAGGAAAUUGGUAUCGAUAUUGGCUAGGCUGAGUGAAGAAGCUAGUUCUUCCUCAGGAAAGGGGUUCUCUAAUUUCUGUUAUAGUUUGUUUUCUAUUGUUCAUCUUGUAAGGACCUAGUCUCCAGCCAUUACCCUACUGCUGUAGUUUUAAUUCAAUUCAAUAUAAUAUUACUUUAAUUUUCAUUCCUAUUUUGGUUCCUAUCAGUAUUUGUGAGAACUCACUCCCUUGAUUUGCUCGUCAACAAUUACUUACACUGUACUCUAUAAAGUGCACUUUAGAGAAGCAUAAUCCUUAGACUUCACAUUCAUAAUUGUAAAUUUCCAUAAUUGGACAAUAAACUUCAAAACAAUAGACAAAUACCUGCCAAAAGAGGAUUUCUUGCAUAGCCCCAGUUUUAGGAUCACCUUCUGGCCACAUUGGUAAAACAAUGUAGACAGCAAAUCUCUCCUUAGCUCUAAUUUUACUAGCAAUUUUCAGUGCCAAUUCCAUUGGGAUGAGAUUAUCAGCCCCUGACCACAGAAGACAAAUGAGACAUCUCAUUCUCUUCGAUUUUUUUUUUCUUUUUCUUUUGCAGAGAAAAGAUGUACAAACAAAGGAAUUUGAAAGUAUCUCUUAUGAAAAAAGGAAGCAAAAAGCCAAUUAGUUACUAAAGCAAAUAAAAUAAUACCAUUAAUUAAUUUUUUUAAUAAAAGUUUCUAGGACAGAGACAAGAAGAUUAGAAAGAGUUGGGGGGAUAAGAGUUCUUCCCAAAUAAAUUAAACUAAAUAUAAUAACAUAAUUAUCAUCAUUUAAUCAGAUUUGAACCUAAUUCACACCAUACCAACAAUUCUUUCCUCUACCUAAUCAAGUUCUGAAAGGGAUAUAUAUUUCAAAAAUAUAUGCAUUCAACUCUUUCUUUUUUUUCAGUAAGAUCAAUGCAAUCAUUUUUACAGAAUGUCCUUUUUCUGCACAACAGAGAAAAACACCUCACUAAAUUAUACACAACUAUCUUGCUUUUCAAAACCAUGAAUUUAAGCCUAACCUGCAUCUUUAUAAGCUGGCCAUGCAUACGAUGAUCCAAUGAAGUAUUGGUUUUCAAUAUAAAUAAAGUGUUGAGCAGAUCUGAUCGCUUGAAUGUAUGCUGUUUGAAUGCUUUUGUCUAUAACCAAAUUUUUAGCACAGAUAAGAUUCUGCAUCCAAAAUUAUGUUAACUAGAAAGUGCAGGAUAUGAUUCUAAUCAAUUCAAUAUAUAAGAUUCUAAACUCAAUAUCUAGGUUUGGUUUGCAAGCUAGUACAGAGUUCACUCAACAUAUUUUGAGUUUUCUGUACAGAAGAAAUAGGAUGAACAAGCAAGUAAAACACUAGUUAAUGAACCUGGGACAGAGCAACAUCAACACGUUUGGGAAAUCCUUUCAGGGAUCCUGAGUCAAUGGAGCGGAAGAUCUGUAAGAGUUUGGAAACAAUGUAAUGAAAGGAAUUAUCUCCAAAAUCAAGAAAAAAAUAGCAGGCAAGUAAAGUCUACUCAAAACUAAGCUUGCAUUGUCCAACCUGAACAUGCCAGUUUUCAGGAUCAUCUUCACUAGAAACCCAUACUAAAGGGUCAUCCUCUGGAACAGUAUAAUCAUCCGAUUUAUCCUUUAAGGUAGCAGCACCAGAAGGACUUAAUAUCCAUGAGAUGCGUUCUAUUCUUAUUAAAGCAUCGUCAUGCCAUUGAGAGGAUUUUUUGAAAAGGAUCGCAAACUCUUUCCACUUAGUUGCUUUUCUCCAUCGCUGCUCAAAAUUAAUAAGAACAUCAUAUGCAGCAGGUCCAUCUAUUCUGCAGUGCAAAUCAUGCCAUGGUUGUCUAGGAACUCUUGUUCCAGCCUACCACAAUCAAAAUAUACAAGAGUGGUGAGAACUGAGAAGUAACAAUAAAUCAAAGUCUAAGUGUUACAACAUUGUAAUAAAACCAUAAAACAAUACUUCCUACAACAUAAAAAUAGCAAAACAUAAUUGGCUAUCACAAUCAAUAAUCCAUAGAUAUGCAACCUACAAUAAACAGGAUUACCCUAUCCUACAAUAAUGAUGCAAGAAAAUAAAAAUCUGUUAGUUAUUACUUAUUAUGAAUCUUUUACUAGGUCCUUAACUUUUUCAUACAAACAAGGACACAAGGGACAACAUAAACAAAAGGAAUUAGAUGUUUAGAGCUGACAAUUACAAUUAGCUCCUUAUCAUUCAUUUAUCAAACUGAGUCCAAUAAAUUUGAUAUCUAAGAUUGUUCUAGAACAUUAUUUAGAAGCAAAUAACACAAUUGGGUUACUCUCAAGUCUAAAUAAAGUUACAACUGAGAAUUAGUCACUUAAGAAAGGAGAGCAAAUACUUGUAAUAAUGGCAAAAAGACACAACCUAUAAGCUGGCUCAAGAACCAAGUCUCAGCUCUGGUGGACUAACAGGAGGCACCCCUCAACAGCCCACAUGGCAGAGACUAUCUUUGCCCCAAAAUAUUUUUUCCUUUCCUGGAUAGUGCAAAUUUGCAAUCAAUGGUUGGGGGUCGGUGCGGAUUUGGAAGGGGAUCUUAAGUUGUGGUAACAAACCCCAACUAUAGGAAUGGUGUAACUCUUCCAAUCCCACACUCUAGGAGCUUAUGGGCAAAUUACAAAAUAAAAAUUCUAUGGAUAAACUUCAAUAUACUUGGUGACCAAACAAACAACAUCUGAGUCUCUUAACAGAGCUUUACAUACAAUCUUAUGGUGUAUCUUUCCAAACCACUUUGGGGUUUCAGUAAGACAUUAUCAAUGGCAUCAAUGAUAUUACAUAAUAUAAAUUCCAUUCAGAAGCUACUAUGUACUUGGCAGAUAAAUCAUGGAUAAUAAAUUAGAGGGUGUACACAGCAGUUUUUAUUCCAACCAAGGGUUCAAUCAAGACAUUAUGGAUAAUAUAACCAAAAAAGAUUCUAUUGAAAAUAGUUAAAACAAGACUUUCCUGAUUUCUAACAAAAUGAAAGAAUAAGUGAAACGCUUAACAAAUUAAUAUUCCCAAUUGGGCUGAAACUUACAGAAAAUGUAGGAUUGUGGAAAUCACCAUCAAAUACAUCGUCAAGAUUACGAAACAGACGAUGCUCGGGUGUGUCAUAGCGACCAUCACAUAGAUCAAGACCUCCUAUAAAAGCAGUUAUCUUCCGGUUAUUACCAGCAGCCUGUGUGUCCACAAUCACACAUUUUUGGUGGUGUGUGAAGACCGUUCCAACAACCUGUAUAAAAAACAACUCUAUGACACUGUUUGUCUCAAAAGACAGGACACCAUUUAACAAUAAUCAAUAAUUUUACAAGCAUAAAGGAAAGGGAAAAAUGAAUAAACGGAAACGUAUCUGUUAACUUCAAACAGAUAAUUAACAGGAGAAGGUAUAUUUCCCAUACUAAAUUUUGCACCCACAAAAUAUAUACCCACUCUUUAGAGCUUAGGCCACUAAACACAGGGCAUUUCACAUUUGACUCCACUGAAAACUAGCUCACAAAGAAUCCUAUCUCCUGACAGCAUACAGGAGGGACGUAUCAAGUCAACGCAACAACAUAAUACAAACAACGAGAGGAAAAGAAAAAACACAAGGCAAUAAGAAUUAGCUACAUUAUUAUUAUCUAAAUCUAACACGCAGACAACAUUAAGUGAACAUCCACGGGUAGCCAGUCUCAAAAACUUAGGCCUAGCUCGAUUCCUGUUUUCAGAAACAGUUUUCUGUUUUCUAACAUCUGUUCCCUUAGUAGAUUUGGACGUGUUUGUUUGGGUUUUCUGUACUCUCUUCCUGUGUGGAGUAAAGACCCAAAUAGGAAGGCCCAUUUUGUCUCACUUAUUAUACAGGGAGUGACUCAUUUGAGAGGAAAAAACAGUAUCAUUGAGAGAGAAAGGAGAGGAAAAAUAUUACAGAACAUUUUUCAGAUUGCAACUGCAGAUUCAUUCACCGUUGGAUCGGACUGAUUUUUGGACAGUAGGUUCUACGCGCAUGAUACUUCAAAUUGUCCGGUUGGAUUUAUUUUGUCUCUAUUGUACCAAUUAGGGAUUUAUUUUGAUUUGAGUGUUUGUAGCACGUUUUAGUGCACUUGUUUGAGAUUCUUUUGUAUCUUUGAUUAUAAUGGAGUUAUUUCUUUAGUCUAGACGACCCGUGAUUUUUACCCUUGCAUUAAGAGGAGAUUUUUCACGUUAAACAAAUUGUGUUUCUGUUUUCUUUAAUUUCUAUCUUGUACCGUAUACUUUAUUGGUACUCCUCACACGUUCUUGCAAGUUUUGAGGAAUUUACUUUUGUUGCCUAUUACUCUGUUAUAGAGGUUGUUAUCGUGUUGGUCUAUUUUCCCCAUCAUCUACUACAUUUCCAUUAUGUAAAAAUUUGUCCCCUAAGCACUUGAGAAGCAGAGCAUGAAAAUCACAUCUCAUCUGUUUCUGUUGUUAGUUUUUAAAACACAUACUUUGGAAACAAUUUUCAAAAAUUGAUUUUAGAGUGAAAAGGGAAUUGAUCGCUAAGUAGUGUGGAAUUGUUUUGAAGUGAAAAGGGAAUCAAACCCCGAAUGACCCUAACACUUGCCUGUUGCUUCAAGAAGCUCAUUUUAUUGCUGGCAUACCGAGGCGACAGAACACACAUAACAGAAGAAUGCUUAAAAAACUUCCUGGUUUCCUCAUCAUGAGUCCCCAUCACACCAGCCUGCACCAAAAAGAUCAUCAAUCAAUCAGCAACAAAUCAAAGAUAACAAACUAUAGAUGACAAAAACAAACAAUGCAAGAAGCCAACUAGAGCAAAACCCUCACCGUCUUGAGGAAAACCUUAUCAUGCGAAGUUUUAUCAUCCCAAACCAGCAACAACACUCUCACCCCUUCCUCAGACUUAUACUUAAGCAACUCACCAAGCGUCAAAUCGCCACCGCGCGGCAACGGCCUAGUAGGCUCUCUAACGAGCCUCACCUUAUGAUAAAUCGACCAACCCACCAAAUACACCAUGUGAUGAGCCUCAGAUAUAGCAUAACAAAUAUCCUCCCAACACUUCUCGUGUCUAUAAACAUUUCCAUUCUCCAACUUAAUCUCCGGUAACUUCCCUUCACCAGAUUCGGUACAAUGCGCGUCCUGGUACAACCUCACCGAACUCCCCUUCCUCACCGGAAAAUACGUGUGCCUCACGCCGUUGUGUUCGGGAUCCGCCGCAAUGCCUCGCUGGUACAGUAAAUUCUCCCACACCGGAGUGAAUUUCAUCUCCACGUGCAGCGCCGUGUCCGGCUUCGGCGGCUUCCCGGACGGCAACAGAAUCGGAAACCACUCGGAAAUCUUCGCUCCGGUGGCAAUCCGCCGCGCCGGAACCUUGACCGUUCCCAUGGUCUGCGCGCCGAAAACGUCGUCGUCCUUGACGCGAAACUCCAAAUCCACCACGGGAUGCGCGAGCGGGAUGUUGAACUGUUCCUCCCACACAGGGUUCGGCGAGUUCUUCAGCACGCGCGUGCGUGCCACCGUGGCUUGCGGCACCGAAACGGUGACGUACGGAUCGCUCGUGAUGAUCCUCGGAUGGUGGUGCUUCCGCUGGCCGGCUCCGCCGCCGCCGGCGGGAGCCUCGGAGUGGAAUUUGAUAGUGUCGCAGGCUGUGACGCAGCGGCGGAGACGCUCGGAGAAGAUGUCCAUGUUGGGCAAGUGGCGCGCCUCGAUGAUUUUCAAAUCGAGGUCGCCGUGGAGAUAGGUAACGCCAUUGUCGUCGCCGCCGCCAGUGUCCGCCAUGGGAGUGAGUGAUCCCGUGCGCCGAGAGUAUUGUUUUGAAUUUGCGCCCGGGAGCGAAACGGGGGCUUUUAGUGUAGAAGAGAAGGUUUGGUAUAGCGUGAAACGAAGGAAGUGAAGUCACGUGGAAGUGGUCGUUUUGAAUUAGGGUACGGUUUUUGUUAGCUUCUCGCUUUGGAUUCGUGUUGUGUUGUGUUGCGUCGAGGAGGGAACAGAUUGUGUUUCUGUGCUGGCGGGUUCACAGGAUUCCAUGUCAUUUUCGCCACAUUUUUUUUGUAACAGUAACGGACUCUGUAACAAAAAAAAAAUAGAAUAAUUAGUCAAAUUUGUGAAAGUGUAACACUGAUAUAGAUUGAUUCAUGUAAAAUAAAAUAAAAAAUUAAAUUUAGUUUUUAAUGUAUAAAAAAUACGAUAAAUAUAUAAAAUUAAAUUUGUAUUUUUUAUUUGUUAAUGAUGAACGACGACACGCCUAGACGGAACGGAAGCGCUAACGCCACGUGAUGAUGGCAGUUAAAUUAUUGGUUUGUUGGUGGUACGUUUUUCCUCGCAGUUGUUAUUGUAAUUAAUUAAUGUAAUAAAUUAUUGAUUCUUGAUCAGAUCUUUGCACUUGCAUGAUGUUUUGUUGAAGAAUCGUGACAUCAUGAAAAGAUUGAAAGUAUAUCAAAUCGUUCUCAUCCUCGUUGUUUGUGGGCUUGGAUUUAGAUAGUGGUGGCGUGUCAGUGGGCCUUAACGACGACAUUCAACUACUAAGUGGGCCCUACCUUGGGCUUGGAUUCCAUUUUCGAGCAAAUCAUGUCCCUCGUGGAAAUGUUUCGUCCGUUUGUCUUUUUUGAAAGUUUUUGCAUUUUUGGAUGGGAUUAAAGAGUAAAAAAGUUGUUCUUUUUUCUCUUUUUGGGAUGGGAUCAGACUGUUAGAGUAAAGAAAUUAUGCUUUUCUUUUACCGGAUGGGAUUAAAGAAAAAAAAUAUUAUUUUCUCUAAGUGUUUUCUUCAUGAACUUUAGUUUAUAAAUAUAAUAGGAAUUUCUUGGUGUUGAUCUUAAAAAAAAUUUACUGCUUAGAUUAUCCUGAUAAUUAAUUUUUGUAUUCAUUACUUAUUUUUUUAUAGAGUAAAAAAUAUAGAAUUAACAAACAAGACCACGUGUUCACCCCCCAAAAAAAAACAAAAUCAAACAAGACCACGUUUUGUAUAAUUUUCCCCGUAAAAGAAUGUGAUCCGAUUGCAAAUGGGUGCUCCUUUUCAUGGCAUACUCCAUACAGAUAAAAAAUCAUAAAUUUGAUUCAUCAAAUGAAUUCAUAGAAUUUGUGAAACAUUCAAAGUGGGUCCGUCACUAAAUACAAAUCUACGCUGGUGAAUACAACCAAUGAAAUUAUAAAUUUUGACUUAGUUUGGUUUCUAUAAUCUACAACCUUUUAUUUUUUUAUACGUAACAUGUAUACGCUACUGUCAUUUUUUUUUCUUUGGGUGUGUAUGGAAAAAUAAGGAAGCCAAACAGAGUAUUUGAUAAUGACUAAAUUUUUAGUAUUUGGUAAUUUAAAAUCAUGGUUAUACUUAAUUAUAAAGGAAACCAAAAGGAAGGGAAAGUAUAUUUAAUAACUUGGGAAAUAAUUUAAUGGAAUCUCGGUGAGUUGGAAUUGAGACAUAGCAUCACUUUGAUUUGAUGUCUAAGCAUAUCCUCAAGGAACUAGGAAACAUUCAUCAUGCGAUGAUGCAAAGAUACCAAAACCAGAUUCCGCAUCCCUACGGCCUUAAGCUUCCCUUUGUUUUUUUAAUAUCACAACAAUAAAAAAAAUAAAAAAAUUUGCCAGGUCAAAGUGUAUCACGGCUUUUUUAUCAGAAGGGAGCCAUUUUUUUCAAAACUACCAAAUAAGAUUAGAUUUUGAAUAAAAUAAUCAUUUAGGGAUAAGUCAUAAAUGAAUCACGAAAAAAGUUGUAAAUUAUGCUAUUAUCAUUUGAUUUUUAAAAAAAAAAUUCAUAGAAAUUAUAAAUCAUUACUUUUAAAAUAAUUAUUAUAUAAAAGUCAACGAAACUGUAUUACGGAUUUUCUCAUUUACUUUUUCAAUUAUAUACUCCAUGACUCCCAAAAUCUAUUUUAUUCUCUAUCGUGCAAGACUGCAUCUACUAUAUUCACACUAUAGCAUACCAAACCUUUUGGACUCAAAUCAGGGUGUUUUUUGGUUGGGUCUUUAUUUGGUGGCCGGUUAUAGGUUUAGUUACUCAUAGUGAGGGAUUGUUUAGGCUUUAAGUGCUCUUAUUUUUGGGACCAGAAUAUGCUGGGAGGGAUCACAUGUAUAACUUUCUUUAUCUGCUUGUAACUCUCAAACUCUUGUACCCAUAUUUUAAUAUAUAUUUUUCUUUGGCUGAUAAAAAAAAAAAAAAAAAAGCUCAUGGGAAAACAUAGGGGUUUGAUUUUCCAAAAUACAAGGAUGAAAAAAAUUUAAAUGUGAGUAAGCCUAAUAUUGAGAAUUAGUCACAUCUUCAGUCCAAAGAAGCAAAAUUUGAAGAAAUCUCAUGAGAAUAUCAAAUAGUCAAAUAUCAUAAUUAGGAUAGUUAUAAAAAAAAAUGGUUUCAAAUUGCUAAGCGCAUCAUGUGAUGCCGUGAUGGGCUGCAAUAUUGUGGUUGCUACAUUCAUUGUCUGCAAUCACAUAACAAGUACAAUGCAACAGGUGAAAUAAUUGCAUCCAACGAGAAUUAACAACAAAUUCCUUAUACAAAUUUGUUCUUCAUUCUUUUUGUGCCUUUACUUAAUUUAAAGGGAAUUUUGAGAAGUCAAGGGAGUUUGACAAUCUUGGAAAGUUGGUAGCGAAGGAAAUGUGAAAUUUAAGAAGGGAAGCAAGAGCCAAGAGCUAUGGGAUUUUUUUGGGGGGGAGGGUGAAUUAAGAAGUAUUAGAUGUUGAACCUGAAUGUUGAUCAUAAUUAAUGCAGACAUGAAAUAAGUUCACACUUCACAUCAUAAUAGCUAUAAUCCCCCUUAAUUACAGUUGUCGCAACCCCACCCUAUCGCAAAUUAACAUCAUUACCAAGUCAUUUCAGUAUAUUGUGUAUAGUGUAUACUGUCUAAUCUAUACUAAUAGACCAAAAGAAAAUAAACUGAAACGCUGGAUGAUGUGUACGCAAUAGCAGAUUGUAUAAUUAUUACUAAAUCAAAACUUAUUAUAAUUCAUGCAAAUUACUAUGAAUGGUUUUUCAAUCCAACUAUAAAUGAAAGUUACAUUCACCUUUCCUGCAAGCAAGUAGGAGAAUUGUUGAGCACUUUAAUAUUAUGGCCCACCUUGUUUUUGCACUGAACUUGUGUCUUGUGUCGUGGGAAAGGUGGGGGAUUUUCUUCCUGCAUCAAUAAUUUUUUCUUCUACAGCCAGGAGUGAUAAUGAAAAACCAAAAACAAUAGUCUAUACAGCCAAGAGGUCUCCAACUUAUAAUUUGUGUUAUAACAUUUUAACUAACUAAGUUAAUAGGUAAUUAUGUUAUAAAAUAAUGAUUUAAUUACAAAUUUUGAUCCUUAUAUCUUUUAGUCUUUAUAAUUUUAAAAUGAUUUUUUUAGUUCCUAUAAUUUAUAUUUAAAUUUUUUUUUAGUUCUUAUAGUUUAAAAGUGAUUGUUUUAGUUCCUAUAAUUUACAUUUAAAUUCUCUUUUAGUCCUUAAGUGAUUUUUUAAUCCUUAUAAUUUGCAUUUUAAUUCCUAUUUAGUCUCUAUAGUUUGAAAAUAAUCUUUUUAGUUUCUAUACUUUAUAUUUUAAUUCUCUUUUAGUCUCUACCAUCAAAAUAUGAAUAAUAUUAUCAAUUAUAAUUAACUAUAAAAAUAUUAAUAAGUAAUUUUUAACUAAUUUAUCGUAAGAUAAUUUGUAAUAAAAAAAUAUUUGAUAAUUUAUAAUUAAUUUGUAGCUAAUUAUUUUUUUUAUUUUUUUAUAGUAAGUACUAAAAGAUAAUCAAAAUACAAAUUAUAGGAACUAAAAAUAUCACUUUUAAACUAUAAAAAUUAAAAUACAAACUAUAUGGACUAAAAAGACCAAUUUUAAACUAUAAGGAUUAAAAGAGAAUUAAAAUAUAAACUAUAGGGACUAAAAAAAUCACUUUUAAACCAUAAAUAUUAAAAGAUGUACGAAUCAUGAAACUAUAAAUAACAAAUGAAUAAUUUAACUUAAAAUAAUUAAUAUCGUUAUAUAUAAUACUAAAAUUUCUAAUAUAUAUUUAAUAUACAUAUAAAAUUAUAUAAUAAAUUUUGUAACAAUUAGUUUUAAUUUAAUAAUUUAUUUUUUAACAUAAAUAAACGUUUAUUAAAUCUAUAAUUUUUAUUUAAAAUUUAUAUAUGUUAGAAAAUACAUUAAAGCUGCGUUGUUGAUUUACUUGGCCGCGUGGGAUGAAGGUGAAAGCAAAAGCCAGGAACUUGGCAGAUUUGGUGCCGAGAGGCUUUUUGAACUUGAACCACAUAAUGAGAGAAGUUGAAAGAGAGUAAGGAUGCUAAUGACAGAAAAAAAGAGCUGGAUUGAAGUGCAAAAUCAGAUACAACAUUUUCUGUCUCAUGAUCCGGCAAAACUGAGACCUGAAAAUAUUCAGAUUAUAUUGAAUACUUUAGCUGCACAUAUGAAGGAUAAGUGUAACACAUCUAACAUGAAAUCAGCUUUUGACAUUUUAUGAUUGGAGGUACGUACCCACAACCUGCUCACACCUUCGUAGCUUUAGAAUUAUAUUGAAAUAUUCCCAAUGCAUUGUUUGAUAAUUUCCUACUUUAAAUAUUAUGAAAUGUUACGGUGGAAUGGUGGAUGAACAUGCACGAGGGUUCAUUUCCAACUCAAGUUGAGUUACGAGUCGAACAAAUUCUUAUCCAGUAGGUUCAACUCGACUCAAUUCAUCUAUAUUUAUUUGAAAUCAGAAUAAACAAUCAAUUUAGUGUAUGAAGUAUUACUCUCACUCUUAAAUAGUCUUUAAAUUAAUGAAAUUAUAUAAGUAGUUAUUAAUGUAUUAGAAAUCGUACUAUGUAGUCUCUCAAGUCUUAAGUAUUGAAAAACUUUUCAAAUUAGAUUAGUAAAAUCUAUCAACUAGGUACUAAUUAAAUGGAUGAAUAUUCAAUAUUUUAGGGACUACUUAUAUUAUUUCAUUAGUUUAAGGAUUAUUUAGGAGGAAAGGUGUUGGAUAUUCAAUAUUUUAGGGACUACUUAUUUAAUUUUAUUAGUUUAAGGAUUAUUUAGGGGAAAAAAGUGAUACUUCAAGAACUAAAUUGAUGGUUUUCUCUUCGAAAUUAUAUUUUUAUCAUUUCUUUAUAUGAUACUUAAGGAGUAUUAGUCAUAUAUCUUUUAAUAAAAAAAUUACAUUUUUUAUUUGUUGGAAUUAGUUAAAAACUAUAAAAUGAAGAAGGAUGGCUAGUAGGAAUAUGCUGCUACGGUUUCUGCAUAUCAGGAAGUAUUUAUAGGCUGUUACUGUUUUUUGAGGCUUAUUGACAUGUUUCAGUUUUGUAUUCUUGGAAUUCUAUAGUUCCGGCACAACUUGUGCUUGGAAUUGUGAUUAUCAAUAAAAUUUCUUUGCCAUUGAAAAAAAAGUUUAAAAAAUAUAAAAUCAUAAGUGGCAAUAUGCAAAAUAAAAAAUGAAAUUUAUAAUUUUUUAUGAUUUUUAAUAUAUUUAAUUAAUAAUAAAAAUGUGUUUAAAGAAUUUAUGUAAUUAAAAAUAAGAUAAAAUAAUAAUAUAAUUCAUAAUCUAUAAUCUAAAAUGAGAAUUUAUGUAAUAAAGGUGACACUUUAACUUGGUCUUCAUAUUUAUUUAGACUCUUUUGCCUCCCAACUCAUUCUAUAAACUAUUUCAUUUUUCAUAUUCAACUUUCAACACCUCAUACCGGUUACUUCUAUUUAACCUUCAUUCUCUCUCUCUUCCCAUUUUAUUUUAUUUAAAAAAUAUAUAUAGAAAGGCACUGAAUGUUGCCCCCUUCGUUUGUUAAUAGAAAUAAAAUUAAUUUAAAAAUUAAAAUAAUGUAUGAUUAAUACUACAAAAUUUCAACCGAAUGUAGUAUAAUUUAAACUAAACAAUACAUUUGAUUUUUUAUCUUAUUUUUUAUAUUUAAUUUGUUCCACUAUUUUAAAAAAAUAAUUUAAUCAUUCAUAUUUUAAAUUCAAAUUAAAUUGGUAUUUUUAUCGAUUUAGAAUUAACAUUGCUAAUAAUUUUAACACAAUGACACAGUUAAAAAAAAUACUUACAGGCUUAUAAGUGUUUCUGCACAUGCAUGUAAUUAACAUAAUUUGGGUCAAAUUACACAUUUGGUCUUCUAUAAGAAAUUGAUUGCUCCAAUCAUGAUCGCUGGUGGUUAUUAGCAGCCACAUCUUGGCAUGAAAUGCAGGGAUCCAUAGAAUGUUUGUUGCAUCAUCCAAAAUUAGCAUUCAAGAGGUUGUUUUACAAUCUUCUCUGAAUACUUGAUGUGAUUAGUCAUAGUUGACACGAUGAGUGGAGUGCAUUUGUGCAUGGAAUCUUCUAAUGAAACAUUAAUUCUCAAAAUGCGAUCGGACAAGUUUCAUACUACAUGCUCAUGGAAGGUUUAAUAGGUAGUCCAAGGUGUUGGCUUCGAUUCAGAAUAGGUUAGGUUUUGGUGUGCUUAACAACUCACACAGUGUUUAGCGAGUGGGCAUUAUUUCCAUUUUAGCCUAGAUAAAUGUCGGAUCAUGUACUUCAAGGCGUUUUAGGUCGGGUUUUAUUGUAUUGAUUUUGCCCAAAGCUCCACUUCGGAAUCAUUUCUAAUUUUUUAAUCAAUUUAUAAACUUGUUCAAACUUAUUGUUCAUAAGAUAUAAAAUUUUUUUAAUUAUGGUAUUGACACGAAAUUAUUUAUAGUAAAAGAUAACAAUAAAUUUCCAUUGAGAGUUAUCAGCACACAUAAAAUGGAUAUUUGUUUUGGACCACUUGAUAAAAAAAAAAAAACAAAUCACUAAUACUUAUUCGUUAUUAUUGGUUUAUAAUAUAUAAGUCAAUUUAACUUUUAGCACAAAAAAUAAAAUAGAAGUUUUUUAAUUGUUUGCUACCAACUUAUAAGCUAUUAACUCAUUUUUUCUAUUAAAAAGUCAAUAAGAAUUCAAAAUUAAAAAACAAUGAAUUAUAAUUGCUUAAAAAUAUAUUUAAAAUUAUAUUUACCUAAAAAUAUUUUUUUACUAAAUAUAUAUAUAUAUAUAAAAUUUAUAUAAACGCGUUGUUUUGUAUCAAAAUUUUAAAUUUACCAACUACUUUCAACAAUUAAUUUUAUUAAAUGUUUCCAAUUAAAUGAAUAAGCUUUCAUCAUUUCAUCUAUAAAAUUCAAGCAUAAUUUUCAAGUUUAAUGAUGAAAAAAGAAAAAGGGAAAAUAGAAAACAUGUAUUAUUAUUUUUGUUUACAGCCAAUGAAAGUGACAUUCCCCUCUCCGCAAUUGUAACAUCAAAAUCAUACAAAGAUCCUCUUUCACUUGCAAAUUUCUUCAUCGUAUUCAACGAUGGGCUUCNNNNNNNNNNNNNNNNNNNNNNNNNNNNNNNNNNNNNNNNNNNNNNNNNNNNNNNNNNNNNNNNNNNNNNNNNNNNNNNNNNNNNNNNNNNNNNNNNNNNAGUGUUUUUGGUUGGAUCCUUUAUGGGCCUGGGCCUGGUCCUGGGCCUGGGCCCUUUUCUGUUUUCGGGCCUUCCUCUUCUUGCCCUGAACUUGGCCCAUGCACGACACUUUGGGCGAUGUGGGCUCUCUCGCGCUAAAGGUUUCGCCCUUGUGCUUCCUACGCGCUUCCUUCGGAAUUAUCGAAACCACACGUGCGGGUGAUCGACAUGGACUCAUCCUAGUCGGGUUCUGAAAGGCCACCACCAAAGCCGCCGCAGGUUGUUUUGUCAGAAACUUCAAGAAAUUGCGUUUAACUUGAAACAAUUUCUCCAUGUUGAAACACCAACAAAGGUGAUGCUAGACAACAUAUGAUAUCAAGCAUGGUAUAACUAUAAUAUAUAGAGAACCAUAUGAGGCACAUGAAAGGGGUGAUUCAUGAUUAAAAUUAAUCUAAUCAUAACAAAAAGACAAAAAUAGGAGGGAAUUAAAAAAAAAAUAUUAUGGUUGACAUUGAUAUCGUAUAUGUUGUGGCGUGGCGUGCUAUUGUAGUAGAGUUAAAAGUGGAAGAAGUUUUUUGCAGCAUGCUUGAGUUGCCGGCACAUUAUAAAAUUAAACUAUGAAGCUUGGAAUCGGUCGUGGUUUCAUAGGUUGAUGCGUCACUGUGACACUACCUUGUCCACUUGUUU